rnacentral:lncRNA from 1 species
ACACAUGAUGCGCUUCAUGCAAGAUGCAGCGCACAUACUUGUAUGCUAAUACUCUUUGUUGGAUGGAUCGUUCAGCUUGGCGGGUGACAAUGGUUUCGACCCGCUGGCGCUGGCGGAGGACCCGGAGGACCUGCGGUGGUUCGUGCAGGCGGAGCUGGUGAACGGGCGGUGGGCGAUGCUGGGGGUGGCGGGGAUGCUGAUCCCGGAGGUGCUGACCAAGGCGGGGCUCCUGAACGCGCCCGAGUGGUACGACGCCGGCAAGGAGACCUACUUCGCCUCCUCCUCCACGCUGUUCGUCAUCGAGUUCAUCCUCUUCCACUACGUCGAGAUCCGGCGGUGGCAGGACAUCAAGAACCCGGGCUCCGUCAACCAGGACCCCAUCUUCAAGAGCUACAGCCUCCCGCCCCACGAGUGCGGCUACCCCGGCAGCGUCUUCAACCCCCUCAACUUCGCCCCCACCCUCGAGAACAAGGAGAAGGAGCUCGCCAACGGUACCUCCAUAGUCUCUCUUCUUCUUCUUCUUUUUUCAAAUAUCCAGCUAGAUGGCUGGCUUCUAUUUCAUGAUCCAUCGUCUCUUCUGGACCCUCGGUUCCUAAUCGGACGGCUCUUGUUAAUUUUUGGAUUUUUUUUUCAUUCAUUCAUUCAGGUAGACUGGCGAUGCUGGCGUUCCUGGGGUUCCUGGUGCAGCACAACGUGACCGGCAAGGGCCCGUUCGAGAACCUGCAGCAGCACCUGGCCGACCCAUGGCACACCACCAUCAUCCAGACCAUCUCCGGCCAGUAAAUCCGUCGAUUUCACCGACCGGGGAGGUUUCAGGUGGUCUGAAUUGUUAUUUUGGGGUACUGAGGAUGUACAAAGUGUGGAGGAGUAGGUGGACAGUGCAAAAAUGUGUUGUAAUCUUAAAGCUCCGGUGGUGAAACUUUCUUCUUGUGGAUUCGCCCAUGGCUUCCGAUGGAGGCUGUACUUGUAAUAUCACCCAUGCGUGUUAUUCUAAACAUGGCAAAACAUACUACUAGUUUGAAGCAUUAGUCUCGAAUUAACUGUGAUAUCACCCGUGUUAUUUUAAACAAGGCAAAAUAUAGUUUGAAGCACUAGUCCUGAAUUCGAUGUGAUGAUACCAAUAGUAAAUCAAAGCAGAACUUCAUACAACACCGGGCUCGCAGAUGUAGAACAGCAGAAUCAAAGAAGAAGAAAAAGGAACCAGUAUAUGAAGUCACAGAUACACAACAUCAGUCCCAAAACUACAAUUUCGUUGUAUGGAAUGUGCAACAGCACAAGAUUAGAGUCCUUCAAGGCUCAACGUACAGUGCGUAAAAAUUGGUUAAGAAUUAAGAUCCUAUUGGAAGAGGCGGCCAACUGAUUCAACAAAAUUCAGAACUAAUAUAUGUAUAUCCACAUGAGUUUAUCCUAAUUAGCAACAACGAGUAACUCAGCAGAAAACUCGGCAAUCUACCCUUGGCACAUACAAUCUGGGGCAGGAUAAGUAUAGAUAGAUUGCUUCGGCUUCCUCAGCCGGAUCUGCCCGUAUCUACCUUUGUGGCCUGCCUGUACAGCCUGCUGAAACUCUGACCACUCCAUGCUCUUGUUCACAAAUAUGUGGCCAAGCAAUGUCAUGUUCGGCCUUAUCGUCUUCAAAUUCCUGUAGGCCCGGUGGGCCAGCUAAAUCAACCAUAAUCUAGUUAGGACCAAUAAAGAAAGAGGAGAAAUCUCGCGAAUACAGCAGAGGCCAACAGGAUUUACCAGUGCAUUAUGCAUAUUGCCAGGAGAAGCAGAGAUGAAAACAUCGCUGUGCAUGCUGAUAUGGUAGUCAAGAGCUGCUAGCACAGAAGCCUUCCCUUCAACAUUAGCAAGUUCAUCUGCCGAUGCAAGGCUCCUCUUGUCUUCCAUCAGCGGGAAAAGUUUGCGCAAGCUAGAGAUCCUAGCUUCCCCUCCAUAUACCUUAAUAGGUGAUGUAUGUUAGACCUUUCUACUUCCACUAAGGAGAAUAAGCGAGCGCAGGGAGUCAAACCUUGUGAGAGGCAAGAUAAAAUCGAGUUGUGCUGUCAAAGCCAAGCGCUACUAGUAUCAACCCAAUCUCUUCUGGAGUCAACGGGCAGCGUCCUGUGUUGCGAAGCUCCUCAUCACUUAACUGUGAAUUUAAUACCCUCCCUUGCCAGAUAACUUGCCUGUACUUAGCCAGAGCUAAUUUUUCAGCUCUACCACCGCCAAAGUCACAGGCAGAAUGCGCAGCCAUAUCCUGAAAAUGGAGGUCAGCUUGAGAUGUUUCAGAGUGGCAAUUCCCCGAAGAGAACAAAAAAAAUAUAUACAUACGACUUCCAAAUAUUGCAGAAGCCCUUCCAUUUACCUUAUCGAAGCGGAGAUGUAAAACUGCGUAGUUUCCAUCCUGAUCUGUGUUUUCUUCUACAACUUGUUGGGCAAAUUCAGUGGAAUGCCCCUGGACUGGAGAUCUCAAGCGCUUCUCAAGGGUCCUCCCCAAUGAGGUAAUGUAAGGCACAAAAACCAGGGCUUCAAAGUUAACUUUACAGCGCAGGCGUUGAAUGUCCACAGGCAAAUCAUCAAAUGCAAGGCGGUGAGAAAAGGGGGCAAUGGCUGCAAUGCCAUAGCUGACAAGGGAAACAACACGUACAUGAGAUUCUUGGUGAAGUAUUCCCCUCACAAAGUAACCAACUAUUGAAGUUAGACCACAAAUUAUAAUGUUAAUGCUACAAAGCCUGUUCAGUGGCCAUCAACCUGGGCUAAACAUGAACUGCAGUUUCUUAGCAUUAUUAUGCCAUGCAAUAUAUGUCAAAUACCACCACUGUUCACAAAUACAAGAUGUUUUGAAUAUUUUAAUAUGGACUACAUACGGACUGAAAUGAGUAAACAAACACACUAAAACGUGUCAACAUACAUCCGAUUCAGAAAAAAGUUAGAACAUCUUAUAUUUGCAACAUGUGUCAGUACAAAGGGUACUGCAGAUCUUCACUUACUCAAGGGGUCUAGAGAAGUGACUAUAUGACCAAAGAAAUCACAAACCUUUGCAGGAUAGGACUGACAUUCUCUAUAUACCAAUUAGCUGAGGCAUGAACAGGUGCAGUUUUUAUUCUUGUAGCACGUAUUCCUGUGCCAUAGAACUCUCUUUUGCUCCACGAAUAUUCUUUUGGUGGACUUCUCACUAUUGAAACCUCGCCUUUUAGGGUGUUGAUAAAGUGAUCCACAUUGAAAAUAUCUCCGAAUGAGCUGCAGCACAACUAAAACUUUCACUUCCAAUUUAACAGGAGAAUAUAAAAACUAAAAAGAUACAGUAGUACUCUGAAACUUCAAAAGCACCUUGAGUCUUUCCAAACAGGGUUUACUUCAAGAUGUGGAAUCACAAGAGUAGCAUUCAGAAUCUUAGCAACCGCAACAGCAUCACAUAUCUAGAGAACAAAAAGAAAGAGCCAGAUGGUAUAAAAUCUCAACCAAGCAAGCUGUCUUAAAUCUAACAUCAUGAAUCUGGUACAUAAAAAGUGUGUUACCCCCAUUCUUUGCUGGUUCAGGCCACCAUCAAGAAAUACUUGUAUGUACCCACUAGGUUCCGAAGGUAACCCUACACUUUAUAUAACCAAAUGCUUAGUGAUCUGUCGCAGCAGGAGGCAUAUCAUUACAUAACCAUGUUAUCUCAGAGUGUUACCACGAGUAAUCGAUGACCUUAUGCAUGGUUUCCACCCCUGAUCAGGCAAGGGUGUCCAGAGAUCUCUCUUUUGUUCAUCUGGCUGUACAGAAAGCAAGUUAGACUUCAACAUAACUACUUCCAUUUUUCAUCUGAGUUCUGAAUACUCACUAUUGUCCAUCGCAAAGACUCAUUCAAAAGAGACUCGUGCAUUGGCUUAGGGGCAUUCCACUCCUGCAAUACAUAGUCAUACACAUUGUCCACAUGAUUAAUCUUAAAAAUAUAAUAUCGCAGUUUGCAGAAAUAUUUACUAAGGUCCACUUGAGUUGCCAAUCUAUCUUCAUAGCCAUAGUACUAAUCCAGUACAUAUGUUAUUCCCAAUACUGUCAUGGACUCAUGGUAGCUGAGUACAGUCCCACACUGCCACAAAAUGCAUAUAAAAUCUAGUAAUCAAAUAUUGUAGACCACUGUCCAAACCAAAAUAUUCUAUGCAACUGGCAUGAUGCUAUCCAUCAGAAGAAUCCAGAUCUUGCACACUUUGCUUAUUUACAGGUUGCACACUUUGCUUAUUUACAGGUACCUCCGCAUCGACAUACAUAUGCCAAAUAAACAAAUGUAAUUUCGCACUUCCAAUUCAACAGGACAGAGAGUCAUGAAUUCGCCACAUCAUUUCACCUUCCACAUACAUUCCUCCCCCAACAGUGCCAAUCCGUCUAGAUUAUAUCCAAUUUUCGCGCACCCAAGACAAUCGGACUCGGCAAAGUGGCAAACUAGCAAGAAGAAGCGUAGGAAGCAUCUAGAAAAGCAGAAGAUCGCCAAUAUGACGAUACACCGGCUCAAAUCGAAUCGACUGGAGGGGAGGACGGCGACUAUAGGGGACGCACCGAGAAUAGGGAAGGGAAGGCGCGGCCGAGCGGGGAGAACAGCGCGGGGAAAAUAGCCGGGAGGAGCACGACAGCGGCUGCGGCGGCCAACGCCGGGCCCCUCGCCGGAGGCGACGAAGCCGACGGCCUCCGCAUCUCACCCGUCUCAGGUGCGAAGACCAGGUGGAAGAGAAUCCUACAAGGCCACAGCAAUUGACUGACGUGACUGAGCCCGGCUACGAGGUGGAAGUGGGCCUACUGUGUUCAAAAUUGGCCCAUCCAUUUCGGCUCCUCCGUCCGACGGGAGGACUUCUGCCAGGAAAUUUGCAGUCGCCCCUCAAAAGAAAAGGAAAUUUGCAGUCAGAUCCGAUAUUCUAAAUAUCCACUAGUUAAUGUAAUUUUGCCUAAAAAAACUAGUUAAUAUAAUUACCCCUAAAAAACUAGUUAAUAUAAUUACCCCUAAAAAAACCAGUUAAUGUAAUUUCGCCACAACAAGAGGANNNNNNNNNNNNNNNNNNNNNNNNNNNNNNNNNNNNNNNNNNNNNNNNNNNNNNNNNNNNNNNNNNNNNNNNNNNNNNNNNNNNNNNNNNNNNNNNNNNNNNNNNNNNNNNNNNNNNNNNNNNNNNNNNNNNNNNNNNNNNNNNNNNNNNNNNNNNNNNNNNNNNNNNNNNNNNNNNNNNNNNNNNNNNNNNNNNNNNNNNNNNNNNNNNNNNNNNNNNNNNNNNNNNNNNNNNNNNNNNNNNNNNNNNNNNNNNNNACAACAAGAGGAAAAAAAGGAAGAGGGGGGGGGGGGAUAAAGAAUUCACCGCACCAUCUCACUCUCCACAUAACUUACUCCCCUACAAUACUAGUCCGUCUAAAAUAUAUCAAUUUUCACGCACCACAGAUGACUCGGCUCGGAAAAGUCACAAACUAGGCGCAGGAAGUAGCUAAAAAAGCCAAGUAGAUCGCACAUAUGACGCUACACCGGCUCAAAUCAAACCGUGUGGAGGAAAGGAUGUCAACUGUAGGGGACGCACCGAGAAUAGAGAAGGGAAGGCACGACCGAGAGGGGAGAACGGCACAGGGAAAAUAGUCGGGAGGAGCACCACAACCACUGCAGCAGCCAACGCUGGCCCCCUCGCCGCAUCUCCCUGUCUCAUUUUUUUAGGGGACCUCCUCGUCUCAGGUGAAAGUGAAUCCUACAAGGCCCCAACAAUUGUGACUUGGUGAGCCCGGCUACGAGGUGGAAAUGGGCCUAUGUUCAAUGGACUAUCGGGAAAUUUGCAAUCAUAUCACAUUUCUUAACAAAAUUUGCAACCCCUCAAAAAAAUUGCAACCUCUCAAUUUUUCUUUUGCAGAAUUUCUCAAAACAAAUUGCACUUGCUCAAUUUUUUUUGAAGUUACGCUAAAAAAAGUUCCGGGCUAAUCUAAACAAAAUCAUGACAUGGUAAAGAAAUCUUGUAUCAACACUAUCACAAGAACCCCUCACAACAUGUCUUUUAAGGACCACAACAUGUUUAGUAACAAUUGAAAUGGGAGUUUGCAGAAGGAAGUUUGUGAAGGGAUUAAGUAUGUAAAGUAAGCAGAUUUUUAUUUCUAUAAACCGUUGUUUGGUACUCCCUCCGUAAACUAAUGUAAGAGCAUUUAGAUCACUAUUUUAAUGAUCUAAACGCUCUUAUAUUAGUUUACAGAGGAAGUAGUAUAUGAUGUGAAUUAAGGAUAGUGUAACGGCCUGGGAUAGUACUACCCGAAGUAGAAUUACUUGUUUUUUUCUUGCCUCGUGUCAUCAUGUCCUCAGGCUUCAAUUUUGAAAUGAUGUUCGAUUAAACCCUCAGUAGUAUUGAAAAUGUCAACCUAUAACUAACUUCAAUAUUUAACAAAAUGGCUAGAUUUCUUGAAACCCUAAAUAUAGCCUUCAACUUAUAUUAGAAAGCACCCAAUUGAAAUUUUUCGAUAAAAGGUGGAUUUUAUUGACCCAAAAUGAAGCAUCAAGUGGAUACAAACGUAAUGAGCACACACCCGUCUUUUGCACAGUUAGGAUGCACACAAUCAAAUCAACGCACAUACACAAAAAAGCGUCGGCAAAUAGCAAAUUCAUAUAAGUCCAAAGCUAUUCUUAAGCAAGAGAAAAAGUCAAAAACCUGAAGCGAUCAAAUCCGUGAUCGACAAACUACAACAAUGAUCACAUCCGCACCAACCAUCUGAUGGCACCACGAGGAAAAUGAGGUUCUUCAACAACAACGCCUUCAGAAAGGAAGCGACACUCGAACGCCGCCGUCACCUGAUCCAACCACCAAAGGCCAGAACCUACGAUAUAAAUUUUUGGAAUAAUUUAUCGCAACUUUUUGUUCAAUCCAUGUUAUUGAUUUAUUUCCAUAUAAGAUAUAAAUGAAUACAAGAAAUAUCUUUUUGCGGUUUUGAUUUAGGCCAGCAAGGCUACACCUAAAAUUUCAUCAAGUUUGGAGCUCAUUUAGGCCCUCAAAUAUUUUACAAUGAUGGCAAUCAAUUUUUGCAUAGUGCUAAAUUAAUAAAACAUUCACUGUUUCACAGGGGCGGCCCAUUUGGGUCUUCCUUAACUAUAUAUCGCCACAGAGCCCAUACCUCGACCCAUUCCCAUACCUCGCCCCAUUCCUCGUGGCCUACUUAGCGCCCAUUAGGCGGCUUUUUACUAAGCCCCGCCCACCUAAGCCCAGGUAGCCAAGUGAAAAAUCCCCAUGUGCAGAGAGUAUUGUAGCACUUUCUAAAGUAGGGGUGGUAAGUAUGGAGUGUCAAACCCAAAAGGAGCUAAAGAUAAGAUACCUAUUCUGUCAGGUUUUAUCUGACACUGAUAUAACCCUACGUACACCAAACGUUGCUUCAACUAGACCUUUUAGUAAAAGAUAAUUUCAAGUUUUGGAGAAAGUGAGUGGAGUAGCGGCGGUAGGUGUUGUGAAUUCAUCCCAAGAAAAUUAACUAUAAUACUAGAUUCAUAAUCAUGCUUUGUAUUUUUAUAUGUGGGAGGCCUAUGCUAACAUGCCACAAAAUCCAUUGAUCGCGUAUACUCAUGAUCGAAACCCCCAGCAAGCAUCCACAACUACUAAUAGUUUAUUAAGGUCAAACUCAACCAUAACAUUAAGAGCUAAAUGUCCUCUAUAUCCUAUAUGCAACCCUUAACAAACUCGCAACAUGGUAAUACUUGUCACUCCGACAAUCCAUCCUAAGAAAAUUUGUGACAUAUUUGCAAACUCUAAAGUGUGAUCCAACAUAGGUGCGCGCUCAUAUGUUCAGCACUAAAGGACAUCACUAUGCAAGUCCUAUCAAUCAUAAUAGAUCAGCAAUCACCAUAGGACAAAAGGGAUCUACUCAGACAUGAUAGCAAUGCAACGAAUCUUUAGAUAAAAAUUCCUAGCAUCAGACACCAUGUUCAAGUAGAGGAUUACAUAGGUUUAUGGGUAUGUGGACCACUACAGAGAGUGUGGAUAUGGCGAUGGAGAUGGUGGUGAAGUUGAUGGACACGAUGGAUACAAUGGUGGUGAUGAUGGUUCCCUGGCGACGCUCCGACACCGCGGGAAGAGAGGGGAAGAGGGAGUGAAAGAACAUGCGGUGCCCCCAUGUUUGGUUUUGGUAAUUGAUGACAAUCUCUAUGGACUAAUGGUUGCCUUGAGUUAUAUUUGAAGGAUUUGUCCAUAGGCAUUUCUUGAAGUUCAUGUGUUGGUUUCAAGGAGUUUAUGUGGUGACCAAGGUGUUAUUAAGGAAUUAUCCAAAGAUUGGUCAUGUGAGAGUUGAGCUUAUUUGCAAGCAUGUCUUGGAGAAGAAGAUUGUGUGAUCAUUCAUGUAUAUCUUCAAGACAUCAUCCAAAUGAAGAGAGUUGAAAAGAUUCAUGGUUGAUCAAGACUAAGUCAAGAGUGAAUCAACUUGAUCAACUCACAAAGCGUAGAAGAUGUACCGAGAGGGAUCAAGCGAUCCCAUGGUGUGGUAAACAUUGUCAAUUACGCUUUGUGUACUAACCCAUGAUCUUCGUGAGAGUUCUUUGUGGGGUUAGGUUGCGGUGUGCAAGUUCAAGUGAAGCAUCAUGAAGAGAUCAAAUGCUUGAAGCUUGCCGUCCAUUGUGGUGACAAUGGACUUGUGAAGAUGUUGCGGUGUGCAAGUUCAAGUGAAGCAUCAUGAAGAGAUCAAAUGCUUGAAGCUUGCCGUCCAUUGUGGUGACAAUGGACUUGUGAAGAUGUGCGGAAGAGUGGCUCACCCAUAGUGGAGCAUGGGGGAGAAAUCAACUAGUCUUCAUCGAGCCAACGCAACCAAGAAAGGUGGUCCAACUUGAGGGAGUCAAGAUCGUCAUCAUCUAGCUCAAGUGGACCAUGUGCAAGGCAAAGGUUUGCUCUUGAUAGGUUUUCUAUUUUACCGGUCUCAUGAUGGUAGUUGGGAGACCGGGUUAUAGGAUCGAUUGUCGUACUAUCAAGGGGGGCUCUCGAUGAGUAGCUUGAUCGUAUCGUUCAUAGAGAGCUCAAACCAUUGCGUCCUUGCAUCAUCUUUAUUGGUUCUUGUUUGGUUCUUCUCUUUGUGAGUUUUGGAGCUUAUGGUCAUCUUGAUGACAAGCUCGAGUUCAUCGAAAACGGAGUUCACUCGCAUCUUCUAUGAUGUUUUCGAUGUUGGAGGUUAUGCCGGUUCUUCUCGGUUGGAGGUUUCACUCCUCUAUUUGUUGGCAUACCUCCCCUUGUUGGUAAUCGUAGCAUAAUUUUAAAAUUUUCCUACACUCACCAAGAUGCAUCUAUGGAGUAUACUAGCAACGAGGGGAAGGGAGUGCAUCUACAUACCCUUGUAGAUCGCGAGCGGAAGCGUUCCAAUGAACGUGGAUUACGGAGUCGUACUCGCCGUGAUCCAAAUCACCGAUGACCGAGUGCCGAACGGACGGCACCUCCGCGUUCAACACACGUACGGUGCAGCGACGUCUCCUCCUUCUUGAUCCAGCAAGGGGGAAGGAGAGGUUGAUGGAGAUCCAGCAGCACGACGGCGUGGUGGUGGAUGUAGCGGGUCUCCGGCAGGGCUUCGCCAAGCUUCUGCGAGAGAGAGAGAGGUGUUGCAGGGGAGGAGGGAGGCGCCCAAGGCUGUAGCUUGCUGCCCUCCCUCCCCCCCUUUAUAUAGGCCCCCUUGGGAGGGGGGCGGCCAAAACCCAUCUAGGGUUGGGGGGCGGCGGCCAAGGGGUGGAAGGGGUUGCCUUGCCCCCCAAGGCAAGGGGGAAGUCCCCCCACCCUAGGGUUCCCAACCCUAGGCGCAUGGGGGGAGGCCCAUGGGGGGGCGCCCAGCCCACUAGGGGCUGGUUCCCUUCCACUUUCAGCCCAUGGGGCCCUCCGGGAUAGGUGGCCCCACCCGGUGGACCCCCGGGACCCUUCUGGUGGUCCCGCUACAAUACCGGUAACCCCCGAAACUUUUCCGGUGGCCGAAACUGGACUUCCUAUAUAUAAUUCUUCACCUCCGGACCAUUACGGAACCUCUCGUGACGUCCGGGAUCUCAUUCGGGACUCCGAACAACUUUCGGGUUUCCGCAUACAUAUAUCUCUACAACCCUAGCGUCACCGAACCUUAAGUGUGUAGACCCUACGGGUUCGGGAGACAUGCAGACAUGACCGAGACGCCUCUCCGGUCAAUAACCAACAGCGGGAUCUGGAUACCCAUGUUGGCUCCCACAUGCUCCACGAUGAUCUCAUCGGAUGAACCACGGUGUCGAGGAUUCAAUCAAUCCCGUAUGCAAUUCCCUUUGUCAAUCGGUAUGUUACUUGCCCGAGAUUCGAUCGUCGGUAUCCCAAUACCUUGUUCAAUCUCGUUACCGGCAAGUCUCUUUACUCGUACCGCAAUGCAUGAUCCCGUGACUAACGCCUUAGUCACAUUGAGCUCAUUAUGAUGAUGCAUUACCGAGUGGGCUCAGAGAUACCUCUCCGUCACACGGAGUGACAAAUCCCAGUCUCGAUCCGUGCCAACCCAACAGACACUUUCGGAGAUACCCGUAGUGCACCUUUAUAGUCACCCAGUUACGUUGUGACGUUUGGCACACCCAAAGCACUCCUACGGUAUCCGGGAGUUGCAUGAUCUCAUGGUCUAAGGAAAAGAUACUUGACAUUGGAAAAGCUCUAGCAAACGAAACUACACGAUUUUUUAUGCUAUGCUUAGGAUUGGGUCUUGUCCAUCACAUCAUUCUCCUAAUGAUGUGAUCCCGUUAUCAAUGACAUCCAAUGUCCAUAGUCAGGAAACCAUGAUUAUCUGUUGAUCAACGAGCUAGUCAACUAGAGGCUUACUAGGGACACGUUGUGGUCUAUGUAUUCACACAUGUAUUACGAUUUCCGGACAAUAUAAUUAUAGCAUGAACAAUAGACGAUUAUCAUGAACAAAGAAAUAUAAUAAUAACCAUUUAUUAUUGCCUCUAGGGCAUAUUUCCAACAGUCUCCCACUUGCACUAGAGUCAAUAAUCUAGUUCACAUCACCAUGUGAUUAACACUCACUGGUCACAUCACCAUGUGACCAACAUCUAAAGAGUUUACUAGAGUCAACAAUCUAGUUCACAUCACUAUGUGAUUAACACUCAAUGUGUUCUGGUUUGAUCAUGUUAUGCUUGUGAGAGAGGUUAUUAGUCAACGGGUCUGAACCUUUCAGAACCGUGUGCUUUACGAAUAUCUAUGUCAUCUUGUGGAUGCUACCACGCGCUAUUUGGAGCCAUUUCAAAUAAUUGCUCUACUAUACGAAUCCGGUUUACUACUCAGAGUCAUCCGGAUUAGUGUCAAAGUUCGCAUCGACGUAACCCUUUACGACGAACUCCUUUCCACCUCCAUAAUCGAGAAAAUUCCUUAAUCCACCAGGUACUAAGGAUAAGUUCGACCGUUGUCAUGAGAUCCUUUCCCGGAUCACUAUUGUACCCUCUUGACCAACUCAUGGCAAGGCACACUACAUGUGCGGUACACAGCAUAGCAUACUAUAGAGCCUACGUCUAAAGCAUAGGGGACGACGUUCGUCCUUUCUCUAUCUUCUGCUGUGGUCAGGUCUUGAGUCUUACUCAAUACUCACACCUUGUAACACAGCCAAGAACUCCUUCUUUGCUGAUCUAUUUUGAACUCUUUCAAAAUCAUGUCAAGGUGUGCUGUCUUUUGAAAGUAUCAUCAGGCGUCUUGAUCUAUCUCUAUGGAUCUUGAUGCCCAAUAUGUAAGCAGCUUUAUCCAGGUCUUCCUUUGAAAAACUCCUUUCAAACAACCCUUUAUGCUUUCCAGAAAUUUUACAUCAUUUCGGAUCAACAAUAUGUCAUUCACAUAUACUUAUCAUAAAUGUUGUAGCGCUCCCACUCACUUUAUUGUAAAUACAAGUUUCUAACAAACUUUGUAUAAACCCAAAAACUUUGAUCACUCCAUCAAAGCGUAUAUUCUGACUCCGAGAUGCUUGCUCUAAUCCAUGGAAGGAUCGCUGGAGCUAGCAUACCUUUUAGCAUCCUUAGGAUCGACAAAACCUUUCUGAUUGUAUCACAUACAACCUUUCCUUACGAAAACUGGUAAGGAAACUUGUUUUGACAUCCAUCUGCCAGAUUUCAUAAAUGCAGCUAAUGCUAACAUGAUUCCAACGGACCUAAGCAUCGCUACGGAUGAGAAAAACUCAUCGUAGUCAACUCCUUGAACUUGUGAAAAUACUCUUUGCCACAAGUCGAGCUUCAUAGACGGUAACAUUACCGUCCAUGUCCGUCUUCUUCUUAAAGAUCCAUUUAUCUCAAUGGCUUGCCGAUCAUCGGGCAAGUUCACCAAAGUCCAUGCUUUGUUCUGAUACAUGGAUUCUAUCUCGGAUUUCAUGGCCUCGAGCCAUUCGUCGGAAUAUGGGCCCACCGUCGCUUCUCCAUAGCUCGUAGGUUCAUUGUUGUCUAGCAACAUGACUUCCAAGACAGGAUCACGCAUUACUCUGAAGUAGUGCGCAUCCUCGUCGUCCUACGAGGUUUGGUAGUGACUUGAUCCGAAGUUUCAUGAUCACUAUCAUAAGCUUCCACUUCAAUUGGUAUAGGUGCCACAGGAACAACUUCCUGUGCCCUGCUACACACUAGUUGAAGCGACGGUUCAAUAACCUUAUCAAGUCUCCACCAUCCUCCCACUCAAUUCUUUCGAGAGAAACUUUUCCUCGAGAAAGGACUCGUUUCUAGAAGCAAUUACUUUUGCUUCCAGAUCUGAAAUAGGAGGUAUACCCAACUGUUUUUGGGUAUUCUAUGAAGAUGCAUUUAUCCGCUUUGGGUUCGAGCUUAUCAGCCUGAAACUUUUUCACAUAAGCAUCGCAGCCCCAAACUUUUAAGAAACGACAACUUAGGUUUCUCUAAACGGUGUCGUCUCAACGGAAUUGCGUGGUGCCCCUUUUAAAGUGAAUGCGGUUGUCUCUAAUGCCUAACCCAUAAACGAUAGUGGUAAUUCGAUAAGAGACAUCAUGGUAUGCACCAUAUCCAAUAGGGUGCAGCUAUGAUGUCCGGACACACCAUCACACUAUGGUGUUUCCAGGCGGUAUUAAUUGUGAAACACUUUCCACGAUGUCUUAAUUGUGUGCCAAACUCGUAACUCAGAUACUCAUCUCUAUGAUCAUAUCAUAGACAUUUUAUCCUCUUGUCACGACGAUCUUCAACUUCACUCUGAAAUCACUUGAACCUUUCAAUAAUUCAGACUUGUGUUUCAUUAAGUAAAUACACUCAGCAUCUACUCAAACCAUCUGUGAAGUAAGAACAUAACGAUAUCCACUGCAUGCCUCAGCACUCAUUGGACUGCAUACAUCAAAAUGUAUUACUUCCAAUAAGUUGCCCUCUUGUUCCAUUUUACUGAAAACGAGGCUUUUCAGUCAUCUUGCCCACGUGGUAUGAUUUGCAUGUCUCAAGUGAUUCAAAAUCAAGUGAGUCCAAAUGAUCCAUCUACAUGGAGUUUCUUCAUGCAUAUAUACCAAUAGACAUGGUUCGCAUGUCUCAAUCUUUUCAAAAAACGAUUGAGUCCAAAGAUCCAUCUACAUGGAGCUUCUUCAUGCGUUCUAUACCAAUAUGACUCAAAUUGCAGUGCCACAAGUAUGUGGUACUAUCAUUACUAUCUUAUAUCUUUUGGCACGAACAUGUGUAUCAUGGCGAUCGAGAUUCAUUUCAGGUGCAAGACCAUUGAAAAUAUUAUUCAAAUAAACAGAGUAACCAUUAUUCUCCUUAAAUGAAUAACCGUAUUGCGAUAAACAUGAUCCAAUCAUGCUCAAUGCAAACACCAAAUCUCGAUGGUAGAGGGAGCAUGCGAUGCUUGAUCAUAUCAACCUUGGAAACACUUCCAACACACAUCGUCAUCUCACUUUUAGCCAGUCUCCAUUUAUUCCGCAGCUUUUAUUUCGAGUUACUAACACUUAGCAACCGAACCGGUAUCUAAUACCCUGGUGCUGCUAGGAGUACUAGUAAAGUACACAUUCAUAUAAUGUAUAUCCAAUAUACUUCUGUCGACCUUGCCUGCCUUCUCAUCUACCAAGUAUCUAGGGUAGUACUGCUUCAGUGACCGUUCCUCUCAUUACAGGAGCACUUAGUCUCGGGUUUGGGUUCAACCUUGGGAUUCUUCACUAGAGCAGCAAAUGACUUGCUGUUUCAUGAAGUAUCCCUUUUGCCCUUGCCCUUCUAGAAACUAGUGGUUUUACUAACCAUCAACAAUUGAUGCUCCUUCUUGAUUUCUACUCUCGUGGUGUCAAACAUCGCGAAUAGCUCAAGGAUCAUCAUAACUAUCCCUGAUAUGUUAUAGUUCAUCACGAAGAUCUACUAGCUUGGUGGCAGUGACUAUGGAGAACUAUCACUAUCUCAUCCGGGAGAUUAACUCCCACUCGAUUCAAGCGAUUGUGGCACUCAGACAAUCUGAGCACAUGCUCAACGAUCGAGCCUUUCUCCCUUAGUUUGCAGUUUUAAGAAACUUGUCAGAGGUCUCAUACCUCUUGACGUGGGCACUAGUCUGAAAUCCCAAUUUCAGUCUUCGGAACAUCUCACAUGUUCUGCGACGUUUCAAAAACGUCCUUGGUGCCACAAUUCUAAACCGCACUGAACUAUCACGUAGUCAUCAAAACGUGUAUGUCAGAUGUUUCGUAACAUCUACAGACGACGCUGAGGUUCAGCACACCGAGCGGUGCAUUAAGGACAUAAGCCUUUUGUGCAGCAAUGAGGACAAUCCUCAGUUUACGGACCCGGUCCGCAUAAUUGCUACUACCAACUUUCAACUAAAUUUUCUCUAGGAACAUAUCUUAACCAGUAGAACUAAAGCGCAAACUAUGACAUAAUUUGCAAAUACCUUUUUGACUAUGUUCAUGAUAAUGAAGUUCAUCUGAUUAUGAACUCCCACUCAGAUAGACAUCCCUCUAGUCAUCUAAGUGAUACAUGAUCCGAGUCAAACUAGGCCGUGUCCGAUCAUCACGUGAGACGGACUAGUCAUCAUCGGUGAACAUCUCCAUGUUGAUCGUAUCUACUAUACGACUCAUGUUCGACCUUUCGGUCUCUUGUGUUCCGAGGCCAUGUCUGUACAUGCUAGGCUCGUCAAGUCAACCUAAGUGUUUCGCUUGUGUUCCGAGGCCAUGUCUGUACAUGCUAGGCUCGUCAACACCCGUUGUAUUCGAACGUUAGAAUCUAUCACACCCGAUCAUCACGUGGUGCUUCGAAACAACGAACCUUCGCAACGGUGCACAGUUAGGGUGAACACUUUCUUGAAAUUAUUAUAAGGGAUCAUCUUACUUACUACCGUCGUUCUAAGCAAAUAAGAUGCAAAAACAUGAUAAACAUCACAUGCAAUCAAAUAGUGACAUGAUAUGGCCAAUAUCAUCAUGCUCCUUUGAUCUCCAUCUUCGGGGCACCAUGAUCAUCUUCGUCACCGGCAUGACACCAUGAUCUCCAUCAUCAUGAUCUCCAUCAUUGUGUCUUCAUGAAGUCGUCACCCCAACGAUUACUUCUACUUCUAUGGCUAACGCGUUUAGCAACAAAGUAAAGUAAUUUACAUGGCGUUAUUCAAUGACACGCAGGUCAUACAAAAUAAUAAAGACAACUUCUAUGGCUCCUGCCGGUUGUCAUACUCAUCGACAUGCAAGUCGUGAUUCCUAUUACAAGAAUAUGAUCAAUCUCAUACAUCACAUAUAUCAUUCAUCACAUCUUCUGGCCAUAUCACAUCACAUAGCACUUGCUGCAAAAACAAGUUAGACGUCCUCUAAUUGUUGUUGCAAGUUUUUACGUGGUUUGUAGGUUUCUAGCAAGAACGUUUUCUUACCUACGUAUGACCACAACGUGAUUUGCCAAUUUCUAUUUACCCUUCAUAAGGACCCUUUUCAUCGAAUCCAUUCCGACUAAAGUAGGAGAGACAGACACCCGCUAGCCACCUUAUGCAUCUAGUGCAUGUCAGUCGGUGGAACCUGUCUCACGUAAGCGUACGUGUAAGGUCGGUCCGGGACGCUUCAUCCUAUAAUGCCGCCGAAACAAGAAAAGACUAGUAGCGGCAAGAAGAAUUGACAAACUCAACGCCAACAACUGCUUUGUGUUCUACUCGUGCAUAGUAACUACGCAUAGGCCUGGCUCAUGAUGCCACUGUUGGUAAUCGUAGCAUAAUUUUAAAAUUUUCCUACGCUCACCAAGAUGCAUCUAUGGAGUAUACUAGCAACGAGGGGAAGGGAGUGCAUCUACAUACCCUUGUAGAUCACGAGCGGAAGCGUUCCAAUGAACGUGGAUGACGGAGUCGUACUCGCCGUGAUCCAAAUCACCGAUGACCGAGUGCCGAACGGACGGCACCUCCGCGUUCAACACACGUACGGUGCAGCGACGUCUCCUCCUUCUUGAUCCAGCAAGGGGGAAGGAGAGGUUGAUGGAGAUCCAGCAGCACGACGGCGUGGUGGUGGAUGUAGCGGGUCUCCGGCAGGGCUUCGCCAAGUUUCUGCGAGAGAGAGAGAGGUGUUGCAGGGGAGGAGGGAGGCGCCCAAGGCUGUAGCUUGCUGCCCUCCCUCCCCCCUUUAUAUAGGCCCCCUUGGGAGGGGGGUCCGGCCAAAACCCAUCUAGGGUUGGGGGGCGGCGGCCAAGGGGUGGAAGGGGUUGCUUUGCCCCCCAAGGCAAGGGGGAAGUCCCACCACCCUAGGGUUCCCAACCCUAGGCGCAUGGGGGAGGCCCAUGGGGGGCGCCCAGCCCACUAAGGGCUGGUUCCCUUCCACUUUCAGCCCAUGGGGCCCUCCGGGAUAGGUGGCCCCACCCGGUGGACCCCCGGGACCCUUCCGGUGGUCCCGGUACAAUACCGGUAACCCCCGAAACUUUUCCGGUGGCCGAAACUGGACUUCCUAUAUAUAAUUCUUCACCUCCGGACCAUUCCGGAACCUCUCGUGACGUCCGGGAUCUCAUCCGGGACUCCGAACAACUUUCGGGUUUCCGCAUACAUAUAUCUCUACAACCCUAGCGUCACCGAACCUUAAGUGUGUAGACCCUACGGGUUCGGGAGACAUGCAGACAUGACCGAGACGCCUCUCCGGUCAAUAACCAACAGCAGGAUCUGGAUACCCAUGUUGGCUCCCACAUGCUCCACGAUGAUCUCAUCGGAUGAACCACGGUGUCGAGGAUUCAAUCAAUCCCGUAUGCAAUUCCCUUUGUCAAUCGGUAUGUUACUUGCCCGAGAUUCGAUCGUCGGUAUCCCAAUACCUUGUUCAAUCUCGUUACCGGCAAGUCUCUUUACUCGUACCGCAAUGCAUGAUCCCGUGACUAACGCCUUAGUCACAUUGAGCUCAUUAUGAUGAUGCAUUACCGAGUGGGCCCAGAGAUACCUCUCCGUCACACGGAGUGACAAAUCCCAGUCUCGAUCCGUGCCAACCCAACAGACACUUUCGGAGAUACCCGUAGUGCACCUUUAUAGUCACCCAGUUACGUUGUGACGUUUGGCACACCCAAAGCUUCCGGGAGUUGCACGAUCUCAUGGUCUAAGGAAAAGAUACUUGACAUUGGAAAAGCUCUAGCAAACGAAACUACACGAUCUUUUAUGCUAUGCUUAGGAUUGGGUCUUGUCCAUCACAUCAUUCUCCUAAUGAUGUGAUCCCGUUAUCAAUGACAUCCAAUGUCCAUAGUCAGGAAACCAUGACUAUCUGUUGAUCAACGAGCUAGUCAACUAGAGGCUUACUAGGGACACGUUGUGGUCUAUGUAUUCACACAUGUAUUACGAUUUCCGGACAAUACAAUUAUAGCAUGAACAAUAGACGAUUAUCAUGAACAAAGAAAUAUAAUAAUAACCAUUUAUUAUUGCCUCUAGGGCAUAUUUCCAACACCCCUGCCUCUUCUUACUAUAACCAGUCGCUGUUUUGAUGCUACUCGUCUUCCUCUAUCCAACAAGCUUGAGUUUGCUCAAUUCGGAGCUCAUUUGCAGAAGUUAUGGCAGUUUUGGUUUCCUAGAGGUAGUACCGCGGGCCGGAGCGGUAGUACCGCUUGGGUUCUACAAGCGGUAGUACCGCUCUAGAGCGGUAGUACCGCUGGUAGCCCCCAGCCAUAGUACCGCUGCGGUCUCGUGCCAGUACCGCCUCGAUUCGAGGGGUCUUUUUCCGUGUCGGGUUUUACGGUACUAGCUGCGGCAGUGGGGGCCGUAGUACCGCUCGUAUGCGGUAGUACCGCCCUGCCACCGCAGUAGUACCGCUCUGGGCCCAGAGGCAGUACCGCGAGGGGGAGCGGUAGUACCGCUUAUAGGGGCAAGCGGUAGUACCGCUGGCCGGUAGUACCGCUCUCUGCGGGGCUGAAGUGGGGGUAACGGUUGGAUUGUUCCCCCCACUAUAUAAGGAGGUCUUCUUCCCCAAUGAAACUCAUCCGUUAAGCUCGUGUUCUUCCCCCAUUGUUGACCUUCUUCGAGCUUGCUAACUCUCAAUCCCUCCAUGGAUUCUUGCUAGUUUUUGAGGGAAAAGAGAGAGGAGAUCUAGAUCCACAUUUCCACCAAUCACUUUAUCCUCUAUGUGAGGGGAACCCCUUGGAUCUAGAUCUUGGAGUUCUUGGUGUUCUCCUUCUUGUUCUUCCUCUCUUUUUCCUCCCUAGCAUUAGUUGCUUCGGUGGGAUUUGAGAGAGAAGGACUUGGGCACUCCGUGUGCCCUUGCCAUUGCAUUUGGUGCAUCGGUUUGAGUUCUCCACGGUGAUACGUGGAAGUUACGAGUUGAGAAGCUUAUUACUCUUGGGUGCUUGGUACCCUUGAGCUUGUUCCUCUUGGGUGCUUGGGCGCCCUAGACGGUUGGUGGUGUUCGGAGCUCAAUCAUUGUGGUGUAAAGCUCCGGCCAAGCGUCGGGGUCUCCAAUUAGGUUGUGGAGAUCGCCCCGAGCAAUUUGACGGGUUCUGGUGACCGCCUCCAAGGGUUGCCAAAAUGUACGGGUUCGGUGACCGCCCCCAAGGGUUGCCAUUUGUACGGGUUCGGUGACCGCCCUCAAGGGUCCCUUAGUGGAAUCACGGCAUCUUGCAUUGUGCGAGGGCGUGAGGAGAUUACGGUGGCCCUAGUGGCUUCUGGGGAGCAUUGUGCCUCCACACCGCUCCAAACGGAGAUUAGCAUCCGCAAGGGUGUGAACUUCGGGAUACAUCGUCGUCUCCGCGUGCCUCGAUUAUCUCUUACCCGAACCCUUUACUUAUGCACUUUACUUUGUGAUAGCCAUAUUGUUUCUUGUCAUAUAUCUUGCUAUCACUUAGUUGUUUAUCUUGCUUAGCAUUAGUUGUUGGUGCACAUAGGUGAGCCUAGUUGUUGUAGGUUUUGUGCUUGUCAAAUUAACCGCUAGGUUUAUUCCGCAUUUGUUCAAGCCUAAACCGUAAUUAUUUUAAAGCGCCUAUUCCCCCCUCUAGGCGACAUCCACGAUCUUUCAGGGAGCCCUCCUUCUUUUCCCUUGGCCUCCCUCCUAGGUGGGAGAAGGUUUCCUCGUUUGGUCCAUGGUUUCCACCAAUGCAUGUGCUUGGCAUCUAAUCGCCUUGAAACCAGGGAUGCAGGUGAUUGUUUUCCCUAGGCAACUAUCUUACCUUCCGUACCAUCGUGACUUGCAAUGAAAGCGUGAUGUAUCAGAUCUAUCCAACAAUUAUCUUACACAACGUGGACUACACCCAAGUAUCUCGACCGUGGAAAUAGCAGGAGCACCGGCAGGCAUCCGAGUACAUAGAGAGAUGUGCAUAGAGGAGUGGGUUUCUCCGUCAUGUGCCUGUCUAAUGCCGGGUAGGUGGACGAACAGGCAACCAACUUCAAUGUAGCAGGAAUCCAUCAUGUCGCCCCAUCCGGCUGUGUUGCUCCGAGCCGACAUUAACGCGGCUCGAAUGACAGGCCGGAGUUGGCGCCUCGCUUCAGUGCUUCAACUCGCUUUAGUGCUUGUAGUCGUCGCUAGUUGGUCUACGAAUUUGGAUGUAUUUUUUUGUGUUCGUUGUACUGUCAUGAUUGAAGAUGAAUAGAUCGAAAGUUUUCUGGAAAAAAAGCUUCCUACAAGUAGAUGACUCGUUUCCGGUUUCUUCAAGCUGGCCAUAGCGGGAGUAACUUAGCUACUAACAUAAGGUGAUUUAAAAAAAACUAGUAACAUAACGUAUCCCAACACAAGUUUUCUUAUGUGGUAAAGAGUCAAAGACGAGAGUUGUUUGUGGUAACAUAAUAUGUUAUCAUAACAUAGCGCAACCCAAGGCACAAUGAUAUUUUGCAAAAAAAUUUGGUAACUCCCAUAAUUUCUUGGUAGUGGCUCGGUUCCAUGUCUCAUUUCAUAGGGAUGCCCAAAAUGACUCUAUUUCACUCAAUAACAUAGAAAUUCAUACUACUUCCUCCUAGACGUAAAUCCGUAACUAGACAAAUCUAAGACAAGAAUUUUGGGACGGGGAGUAAAGGGCCCACUGAUUGGGAGGACAGGUGCCGGCAGAUUAGACUACCCACAGUGGGAGUAACAUAGGUAGUAACAUCAUACAUAUCUAGAUAAAAUAGAUGAUGUGGCAUGCAAUAAAUGAAGAAAGAGAGAAGAGUGGUAACAUAGCUAGUUACUAGUAGUAUGAGUAACAUCACACAUAUCAAGGCAAGAUGUGUCUAUAGCCUAAUAAAUAAAGUGUUGCAUGUUACCACACAUAUGUCACUCCCACUAUAAAGGUAGUAAUAUAGACUAUGUUACUACUGUAUGUUACUACCCAUUGUGGCUAGUCUUACAGCGGGUGCGCACGAGGUGAAGUUUGCAGCCCGGUCUCCACUCUCCACCCAAAUAUUUGCAGCCCGGUCUCCACUCUCCACCCAAAUAUUCUCCGCUCCCAAUUCCAAGCGGCCUCUCCCCCCUCUUCUUUGCUUCCCUCGGCCUCUCCACCUUUCCCCCCGCCCGCUCCCCAGUUCCCACCCCAACAUCCACCUCCCUCCCUCCAUCCCUCUCUAGCUUCUGCCGCGAACCCUAGGGAGGGUCCCCAACAACAUGGACGUCGAGUCCGAGGUCUCGGCGGACGCCGCCGCUGCGGCGACGAACGGGUUGGGUGGCGCGGGGGAGGCUGCCGCUGAGGACGCGGAGGCCGUUGUGGUGACGAACGGCCUGGCUGGCGGUGGGGAGGCCUCCGCCGAGCAGCGCAGCUUGGAGGCGUACGCCGCGCUGUACUCGGGUCGGACCCGCCUGGCGCGCCUCGUGUUCAUCGCGCAGAGAUGCGGGGUGGAGGCGAUCGAGCUCGCGGCGCUGCGGAUGGCGUACGACGAGGCCAAGGCGCGCGAGGACACGGCAUUCUACCGCGAGGCCGCCCUCAGGAUCAACGGCCGCCUCGGCCCUACCCACCUGCUCGACCAGGAUUGGGUCGACUCCGUCAAUCACCGCGCCGAGCAGCGCAAGGAGAAUCUCGAGACCGAACUCGAGGUCUANNNNNNNNNNNNNNNNNNNNNNNNNNNNNNNNNNNNNNNNNNNNNNNNNNNNNNNNNNNNNNNNNNNNNNNNNNNNNNNNNNNNNNNNNNNNNNNNNNNNNNNNNNNNNNNNNNNNNNNNNNNNNNNNNNNNNNNNNNNNNNNNNNNNNNNNNNNNNNNNNNNNNNNNNNNNNNNNNNNNNNNNNNNNNNNNNNNNNNNNNNNNNNNNNNNNNNNNNNNNNNNNNNNNNNNNNNNNNNNNNNNNNNNNNNNNNNNNNNNNNNNNNNNNNNNNNNNNNNNNNNNNNNNNNNNNNNNNNNNNNNNNNNNNNNNNNNNNNNNNNNNNNNNNNNNNNNNNNNNNNNNNNNNNNNNNNNNNNNNNNNNNNNNNNNNNNNNNNNNAAUUUACCACUUGGUUCACAUUACUUUCUGCUUUGGAUGUGGUUACAUUGAUCCGUAAGGAAUUCGAUCCCGUGUCUGCCUACUGCCAUGGCGCGAGGAUUACUGUAUGCGCGAGUAAUAUGCCUUAUUUCUAACUUGGUAUCUUGUGGUAUGUUCGCUUACUUAGUAGUCUUUGCACGAGCAUGAUUUUCUAUGCUGUGAUGAGAGUAAGUCGUGGUUACCUUGCACUUUGUUUGGUAAACAUUGAUGGAAAUGGUUGUUUGAUCAGGGUGUGGAGCUGAACUAUAGGUUUAUCAAGUUAUUUGGGUCGAUAUUGUAAAUCAAUCAUGUAAAAUUUCUCUGAUUGCAAUCCUUUUGCCAUCAGGUGAUGUUUUCGGAAAGAUAUUUGUGUACAAUUAAACUCUUUACACAAAACAACCAUUUAUGACUUGUUAGGAGUACACACAGUGAUUUUUAUUAUUAGCAGAAGCUAGGCAAAAACAUGAUACAUGGGGAGAUGGGGGCCUUAUUAGCAGAAGCAAGGCCUUAUUUGGUAAUGGUAUCCUACUACUAUGUGCAAGCAUCUUGCAGGAGCAUACAUUUUUGCUGUGAUGAAAAAAGAAUAAAUCGUGGUUAUCCUGCACACUGCUUGGUCUACAUUGCUGAAAUGAUUGCUUGAUUAGGGUGCGGUGCAGAAACUGUAGGUGUUAUGCAGUCAUUUGGGAUCAUGCAUGUUUUCUUUGAGUGCAUCCCUUUUCCAUUAGGUCUUGGUAGCAACUUCAAAGCAUUUACAUGAAUACAACUAUUUGGGAGUACAUGGAGUGAAUUUUUUUUCUUAGCACAAGCAAAGUAAAAACAAGAUAUAAGGUGGCGAAUGGAACUAUUUUCCAGUUUCCUGGGCCAUUGUUCUUUUUUGCCUGUGUGGCCACUGACCAGUCUGUUACAUAUGAACCCAGACAUGGCUCACACAUAUACAAGCUACCACCUGAUUUAUCUGCAGUUCUUAGAAGACACAAAACCCUGUCUACUUACCUUCACUAUAUGCUACCUUGUCAGUAUUCUGCCUCCUCGUGCCUCUGUGUUUUGGUGGCACACCUUUCCAUGCUUUGAUGCCUCUAUAUAUGCUGCAAAAGAAUCUGUUCUCUGGCAUUUGAAUUCUGGUUUAGUAUAUUUGUUUGUGGCUUUGGUGGGUUGAUUAGCUAUGUUCUAUGGUGAUGUAAUAUAUGUAUCAAACUAGUAACUCUGUCGGUUCUUUAAAUGCAGACCUGCCUGCAUGGCGAGAGCAUCAGAAUAUGCUAUAAUGAUCUCGGUGACUUCUACUAUUCUCAUGGCCGCCUUACUGAAGCCUUCAAAAGCUAUAUCAAGACAGAAGAGUACUUCAGUGCUUCUGAGCAUGUAGUGCAGAUGUGUAUGAAGGCAAUACUGAUCAGCGUUGAAUUAGGUCACAAUGUUCGUGUUCUGAAUUUUGUAAGUAAAGCACAAGGAUGUCAAGAUCCACUGAGUCCUAUUGCCAUUGCUAAGCUGCAAGCAGUUGCAGGAUUAGCGCGUCUUGGUAGAAAGGAGUAUAAACUUGCCGCCCAAGAGGUUUGUUUUACACUUUUUACUGAUUAUUGCAAUCAUGACCAUCCCAGCCUCUUUCCUUUCGAGUUCUUCUGUGUUUGCAUCUUAAUUUUUUGCUGAAACUGUGUUUCCCUCAAGUUUCUGGAGACAGGACCUGAACUAGGAAGCAACUAUUCUGAAGUCAUAGCGGCACAAGAUGUAGCUACAUAUGGAUCUCUUUGUGCACUUGCUUUCUUAAAUUACAGUGAUAUCAAGGUUCACUUACCUCUUCUUCUACAGUGUUAUAUAUCACUCUUUUGGUAGCAUGGCACUCAAUAUAUGACUGUUCUUGUAUCUGCACAGAUGAAAGUUAUUGAGAAUGCUAAAUUUGGAUCUUUUCUGAGCCUUUUCCCUGAAAUUAGGGGGUUGGUCAAUGAUUUUUACUACAGGUAAGAUUGGUAUAUUGUUUACUUCUUGUUGUAGGUUUGUGGUUAUUUGUUGGCAUAAUCUUUUUUGCCAAUGAGUUCAGUGUCUAACAUUUUUAGUUUCUUUUGCAAGUAAUGUGUGUGUAACUGUGUAUGCUGAGUUGCUAACCAUGGAUUUUUUUUUCAAACGACCAGUCAAGAUAAGUCAUGUUGGUAGAACCAGGGAUCCUACCGGACCUGCUUCGUAGGUUGUAGGGGAAGGAUGGAGGAGGGCGGCGAUGAGCGGGCGCGCCGGCGGCUGGGCGCCGUCGCGUAGGAGGAGGAUUGCGGCGGCGGCUAGGGUUAGAGGCGGCUAGGGUUCCGGCUCCUCUGGGAGCCGGGCAAUAGGGAUAAUAAUAUUCUUAUUGCUUAAUUCCAAAAAGAGUCUUACAGCCUAUAUUUAUAACCUAGAUAACUUGCAGAAGAAUUAACCUAAGAUAACUUGUGGGCUAAGAUUGCCCGAUGGGCCUAGCUAAACCGGCCAUAACACUUCUCCCCGCCUGCACAAACAGCUCGUCCUCGAGCUGUAAGGUGGGGAAGCGCUUGCGGAACUCCUCGAGGCGAUCAACCUGCGUCAAACACCUUCUCGACAGCUGGGGCGGCCAGGUCGGCGGCGACGGCGUCCUCCGAAAUGUUGUCUGCCACCUCCAGGUAGAAGAGUCGCGGGCAGGCAUGGCCGGGCGUGUAGGGCUCGUCGUAGUUGAAGCACAGCCCUUGGCGGCGACGCUCGAGUAGCUCGGUUGAGGUAAGCCGGCGAAACGGGCGCGUCGCGGUCGCGGCGAGGGGUGCCGCAGAAGCCUGCGCAGGCCGACCCUGCGCGGAAUCCGGCCCGGGUAGUGACCCAGCGGUCCAAAACGGUGAUGCCUGUUGGAUGGCCACCACGCGGAGCUCGAACGCGCGGGCGUAGUACAUGGCCGACUGGAGAUCCUGGGGUCCCUGAAGCUCCACGUCCACGCGGAUGUGAUCCGGAAGUCCACCGACAAAGAGGUCGGCCUGCUGCUGCGCCGUCACACCCGACGCAUGGCAUGCCAGGGCCUGGAAAUGGUCGGCGUAGUCCUGCACCGUGGAGGUGAAGGGAAGGCGGCCGAGCUCCGCCAGGCGGCUCCCGCGAACCGGAGGCCCAUAGCGAAGGAGGCAGAGCUCGCGGAAGCGCUCCCAAGGGGGCAUGCUGCCCUCGUCCUGCUCGAGGGCGUAGUACCAGGUCUGGGCUGCACCGCGGAGGUGGUAGGAUGCCAGCCAAGUGCGCUCCGACGCGAGCGUGCGCUGGUCACGGAAAAACUGUUCACACUGGUUGAGCCAGUUAAGCGGGUCCUCCAUGCCGUCAUAAGUGGCGAAGUUGAUCUUGGCGAACCGUGGCGGCGUCUGGGUCGGCGCGCCAUGGCCGACCGGCUCGGCGGUGCGGAGCAGCGAUGAUGACGGCGCCCGGUCAACGGUGGGGAGGCCGCCGUAGGCCCCCGCGGAGCUGGACGAGGCCCCAGACUACAGCGUGGGUACCGGUGGGUCCCCGGCCUCUGUGUAAACUGGCAGUGGCGACGUCCCGGUUAGCCAGGCCGGGAUCGGGGACGGGGACGGCGGAAACCGAACCUGCUGGAUCGGAAGGCCUCCCGGUGUGGACUGGCCCAGUCCGAAGCUGGGCGGCGGCGGCGGGAGCUGGACNNNNNNNNNNNNNNNNNNNNNNNNNNNNNNNNNNNNNNNNNNNNNNNNNNNNNNNNNNNNNNNNNNNNNNNNNNNNNNNNNNNNNNNNNNNNNNNNNNNNNNNNNNNNNNNNNNNNNNNNNNNNNNNNNNNNNNNNNNNNNNNNNNNNNNNNNNNNNNNNNNNNNNNNNNGCGGGUGGUGCCGCGAGAACCGGCGCGGGCCACUGCGGCCAGGACGGCGCUGGGGCGGGCGGCGGCUGGAGCGACGGAUGGGCCCCGGCGAUCACCGCGGGUAUCGAGUGUUGGGAAUCGUAGCAUAAUUUAAAAUUUUCCUACGUUCACCAAGAUGCAUCUAUGGAGUCUACUAGCAACGAGGGGAAAGGAGUGCAUCUACAUACCCUUAUAGAUCGCGAGCGGAAGCGUUCCAAUGAACGUGGAUGACGGAGUCGUACUCGCCGUGAUCCAAAUCACCGAUGACCGAGUGCCGAACGGACGGCACCUCCGCGUUAAACACACGUACGGUGCAGCGACGUCUCCUCCUUCUUGAUCCAGCAAGGGGGAAGGAGAGGUUGAUGGAGAUCCAGCAGCACGACGGCGUGGUGGUGGAUGUAGCGGGUCUCCGGCAGGGCUUCGCCGAGCUUCUGCGAGAGAGAAAGAGAGGUGUUGCAGGGGAGGAGGGAGGCGCCCAAGGCUGUAGCUUGCUGCCCUCCCUUCCCCCCUUUAUAUAGGCCCCCUGGGGGGGCACCGGCCCUAGAGAUGAGAUCUCAUGGGGGGGCGGUGGCCACAAGGGGGGGAAGGGGUUGCCUUGCCCCCCCAAGGCAAGGGGGAACUCCCCCCCCCCCAGGGUUCCCAACCCUAGGCGCAUGGGGGGAGGCCCAAGGGGGGUGCCCCGGCCCACUAAGGGCUGGUUCCCUUCCACUUUCAGCCCACGGGGCCCUCCGGGAUAGGUGGCCCCACCCGGUGGACCCCCGGGACCCUUCCGGUGGUCCCGGUACAAUACCGGUAACCCCCGAAACUUUCCCGGUGGCCGAAACUGGACUUCCUAUAUAUAAUUCUUCACCUCCGGACCAUUCCGGAACCUCUCGUGACGUCCGGGAUCUCAUCCGGGACUCCGACCAACUUUCGGGUUUCCGCAUACAUAUAUCUCUACAACCCUAGCGUCACCGAACCUUAAGUGUGUAGACCCUACGGGUUCGGGAGACAUGCAGACAUGACCGAGACGCCUCUCCGGUCAAUAACCAACAACGGGAUCUGGAUACCCAUGUUGGCUCCCACAUGCUCCACGAUGAUCUCAUCGGAUGAACCACGGUGUCGAGGAUUCAAUCAAUCCGUAUGCAAUUCCCUUUGUCAAUCGGUAUGUUACUUGCCCGAGAUUCGAUCGUCGGUAUCCCAAUACCUUGUUCAAUCUCGUUACCGGCAAGUCUCUUUACUCGUACCGCAAUGCAUGAUCCCGUGACUAACGCCUUAGUCACAUUGAGCUCAUUAUGAUGAUGCAUUACCGAGUGGGCCCAGAGAUACCUCUCCGUCACACGGAGUGACAAAUCCCAGUCUCGAUCCGUGCCAACCCAACAGACACUUUCGGAGAUACCCGUAAUGCACCUUUAUAGUCACCCAGUUACGUUGUGACGUUUGGCACACCCAAAGCACUCCUACGGUAUCCGGGAGUUGCACGAUCUCAUGGUCUAAGGAAAAGAUACUUGACAUUAGAAAAGCUCUAGCAAACGAAACUACACGAUCUUUUAUGCUAUGCUUAGGAUUGGGUCUUGUCCAUCACAUCAUUCUCCUAAUGAUGUGAUCCCGUUAUCAAUGACAUCCAAUGUCCAUAGUCAGGAAACCAUGACUAUCUGUUGAUCAACGAGCUAGUCAACUAGAGGCUUACUAGGGACACGUUGUGGUCUAUGUGUUCACACAUGUAUUACGAUUUCCGGACAAUACAAUUAUAGCAUGAACAAUAGACGAUUAUCAUGAACAAAGAAAUAUAAUAAUAACCAUUUAUUAUUGCCUCUAGGGCAUAUUUCCAACAGUCUCCCACUUGCACUAGAGUCAAUAAUCUAGUUACAUUGUGAUGAAUCGAACACCCAUUGCGUCCUGGUGUUGAUCAUGUUUUGCCCUAGGGAGAGGUUUAGUCAACGGAUCUGCUACAUUCAGGUCCGUAUGUACUUUACAAAUAUCUAUGUCUCCAUUUUGAACACUUUCACGAAUGGAGUUGAAGCGACGCUUGAUAUGCCUGGUCUUCCUGUGAAACCUGGGCUCCUUCGCAAGGGCAAUUGUUGGAAAUAUGCCCUAGAGGCAAUAAUAAAUGGUUAUUAUUAUAUUUCUGUGUUCAUGAUAAUAGUCUAUUAUUCGUGCUAUAAUUGUAUUGUCCGGAAAUCAUAAUACAUGUGUGAAUACAUAGACCACAACCUGUCCCUAGUAAGCCUCUAGUUGACUAGCUCGUUGAUCAACAGAUAGUCAUGGUUUCCUGACUAUGGACAUUGGAUGUCAUUGAUAACGGGAUCACAUCAUUAGGAGAAUGAUGUGAUGGACAAGACCCAACUUAAGCAUAGCAUAAAAGAUCGUGUAGUUUCGUUUGCUAGAGCUUUUCCAAUGUCAAGUAUCUUUUCCUUAGACCAUGAGAUCGUGCAACUCCCGGAUACCGUAUGAGUGCUUUGGGUGUGCCAAACGUCACAACGUAACUGGGUGACUAUAAAGGUGCAUUACGGGUAUCUCCGAAAGUGUCUGUUGGGUUGGCACGGAUCGAGACUGGGAUUUGUCACUCCGUGUAAACGGAGAGGUAUCUCUGGGCCCACUCGGUAAUGCAUCAUCAUAAUGAGCUCAAUGUGACUAAGGCGUUAGUCACGGGAUCAUGCAUUGCGGUACGAGUAAAGAGACUUGCCGGUAACGAGAUUGAACUAGGUAUUGGGAUACCGACGAUCGAAUCUCGGGCAAGUAACAUACCGAUUGACAAAGGGAAUUGCAUACGGAUUGAUUGAAUCCUCGACACCGUGGUUCACCCAAUGAUAUCAUCAUGGAACAUGUGGGAGCCAACAUGGGUAUCCAGAUCCUGCUGUUGGUUAUUGACCGGAGAGGCGUCUCGGUCAUGUCUGCAUGUCUCCCGAACCCGUAGGGUCUACACACUUAAGGUCCGGUGACGCUAGGGUUGUAGAGAUAUAUGUAUGCGGAAACCCGAAAGUUGUUCGGAGUCCCGGAUGAGAUCCCGGACGUCACGAGAGGUUCCGGAAUGGUCCGGAGGUAAAGAUUUAUAUAUGGGAAGUCUUAUUUUGGUCGCCGGAAAAGUUUCGCGCUUUAUCGGUAUUGUACCGGGAGUGCCGAAAGGGGUCCGGGGGUCCACCAAGGGGGUCCACCAGCCCCGGGGGGCCACAUGGGCUGUAAGGGGUGCGCCUUGGCCUAUAUGGGCCAAGGGCACCAGCCCCAAGAGGCCCAUGCGCAAGAGAUAAGAAAGAAGGGAGAGUCCUAAAGGGGGAAGGCACCUCCGAGGUGCCUUGGGGGGGAAGGACUCCCCCCUGGCCGCACCCUUCCUUGAAGGAAGGGGCAAGGCUGCGCCCCCCCCCCUCUCCCUUGGCCCUAUAUAUAGUGGGGGGAAGGGAGGGCAGCAAGAUCUAAGCCUUGGGCGCCUCCCUCCUCCCCUGCAACACCUCUCUCUCUCUCGCAGAAGCUCGGCGAAGCCCUGCCGGAGACCCGCUACAUCCACCACCACGCCGUCGUGCUGUUGGAUCUCCAUCAACCUCUCCUUCCCCCUUGCUGGAUCAAGAAGGAGGAGACGUCGCUGCACCGUACGUGUGUUGAACGCGGAGGUGCCGUCCGUUCGACACUCGGUCAUCGGUGAUUUGGAUCACGGCGAGUACGACUCCGUCAUCCACGUUCAUUGGAACGCUUCCGCUCGCGAUCUACAAGGGUAUGUAGAUCCACUCCUUUCCCCUCGUUGCUAGUAGACUCCAUAGAUGCAUCUUGGUGAGCGUAGGAAAAUUUUAAAUUAUGCUACGAUUCCCAACAGGCCCCACCCGGUGGACCCCCGGGACCCUUCCGGUGGUCCCGGUACAAUACCGGUAACCCCCGAAACUUUCCCGGUGGCCGAAACUGGACUUCCUAUAUAUAAUUCUUCACCUCCGGACCAUUCCGGAACCUCUCGUGACGUCCGGGAUCUCAUCCGGGACUCCGAACAACUUUCGGGUUUCCGCAUACAUAUAUCUCUACAACCCUAGCGUCACCGAACCUUAAGUGUGUAGACCCUACGGGUUCGGGAGACAUGCAGACAUGACCGAGACGCCUCUCCGGUCAAUAACCAACAGCGGGAUCUGGAUACCCAUGUUGGCUCCCACAUGUUCCACGAUGAUCUCAUCGGAUGAACCACGGUGUCGAGGAUUCAAUCAAUCCCGUAUGCAAUUCCCUUUGUCAAUCGGUAUGUUACUUGCCCGAGAUUCGAUCGUCGGUAUCCCAAUACCUUGUUCAAUCUCGUUACCGGCAAGUCUCUUUAAUCGUACCGCAAUGCAUGAUCCCGUGACUAACGCCUUAGUCACAUUGAGCUCAUUAUGAUGAUGCAUUACCGAGUGGGCCCAGAGAUACCUCUCCGUCACACGGAGUGACAAAUCCCAGUCUCGAUCCGUGCCAACCCAACAGACACUUUCGGAGAUACCCGUAGUGCACCUUUAUAGUCACCCAGUUACGUUGUGACGUUUGGCACACCCAAAGCACUCCUACGGUAUCCGGGAGUUGCACGAUCUCAUGGUCUAAGGAAAAGAUACUUGACAUUGGAAAAGCUCUAGCAAACGAAACUACACGAUCUUUUAUGCUAUGCUUAGGAUUGGGUCUUGUCCAUCACAUCAUUCUCCUAAUGAUGUGAUCCCGUUAUCAAUGACAUCCAAUGUCCAUAGUCAGGAAACCAUGACUAUCUGUUGAUCAACGAGCUAGUCAACUAGAGGCUUACUAGGGACACGUUGUGGUCUAUGUAUUCACACAUGUAUUACGAUUUCCGGAUAACACAAUUAUAGCAUGAAAAAUAGACAAUUAUCAUGAACAAGGAAAUAUAAUAAUAACCAUUUAUUAUUGCCUCUAUGGCAUAUUUCCAACAGUCUCCCACUUGCACUAGAGUCAAUAAUCUAGUUACAUUGUGAUGAAUCGAACACCCAUAGAGUUCUGGUGUUGAUCAUGUUUUGCUCUAGGGAGAGGUUUAGUCAACGGAUCUGCUACAUUCAGGUCCGUAUGUACUUUACAAAUAUCUAUGUCUCCAUUUUGAACACUUUCACGAAUGGAGUUGAAGCGACGCUUGAUAUGCCUGGUCUUCCUGUGAAACCUGGGCUCCUUGGCAAGGGCAAUUGCUCCAGUGUUGUCAUAGAAGAGAGUCAUCGGGCCCGACGCAUUGGGAAUCACCCCUAGGUCGGUAAUGAACUCCUUCAUCCAGAUUGCUUCUUGCGCUGCCUCUGAGGCUGCCAUGUACUCCGCUUCACAUGUAGAUCCCGCCACGAUGCUUUGCUUGCAACUGCACCAGCUUACUGCCCCUCCAUUCAAAAUAUACACGUAUCCGGUUUGUGACUUUGAGUCAUCCAGAUCUGUGUCGAAGCUAGCGUCGACGUAACCCUUUACGAUGAGCUCUUCGUCACCUCCAUAAACAAGAAACAUAUCCUUAGUCCUCUUCAGGUACUUCAGGAUAUUCUUGACCGCUGUCCAGUGUUCCAUGCCGGGAUUACUUUGGUACCUUCCUACCAAACUUACGGCAAGGUUUACAUCAGGUCUGGUACACAGCAUGGCAUACAUAAUAGACCCUAUGGCCGAGGCAUAGGGGAUGACGCUCAUCUUUUCUCUAUCUUCUGCCGUGGUCGGGCAUUGAGCCGUGCUCAACUGCACACCUUGCAAUACAGGCAAGAACCCCUUCUUGGACUGAUCCAUAUUGAACUUUUUCAAUAUCUUGUCAAGGUAUGUACUCUGUGAAAGACCAAUGAGGCGUCUUGAUCUAUCCCUAUAGAUCUUGAUGCCUAAUAUAUAAGCAGCUUCUCCAAGGUCCUUCAUUGAAAAACAUUUAUUCAAAUAGGCCUUUAUACUUUUCAAGAAUUCUAUAUCAUUUCCCAUCAAUAAUAUGUCAUCCACAUAUAAUAUGAGAAAUGCUACAGAGCUCCACUCACUUUUUUGUAAACACAGGCUUCUCCAUAAGUCUGUGUGAACCCAAACGCUUUGAUCAUCUCAUCAAAGCGAAUGUUCCAACUCCGAGAUGCUUGCACCAGCCCAUAAAUUGAGCGCUGGAGCUUGCAUACUUUGUUAGCAUUCUUAGGAUCGACAAAACCUUCCGGCUGCAUCAUAUACAACUCUUCCUUAAGGAAGCCGUUAAGGAAUGCCGUUUUGACAUCCAUCUGCCAUAUCUCAUAAUCAUAGUAUGCGGCAAUUGCUAACAUGAUUCGGACGGACUUCAGCUUCGCUACGGGUGAGAAAGUCUCAUCGUAGUCAACCCCUUGAACUUGUCGAUAACCCUUAGCGACAAGUCGAGCUUUGUAGAUGGUCACAUUACCAUCUGCGUCCGUCUUCUUCUUAAAGAUCCAUUUGUUUUCUAUGGCUCGCCGCUCAUCGGGCAAGUCAGUCAAAGUCCAUACUUUGUUUUCAUACAUGGAUUCUAUCUCGGAUUUCAUGUCUUCUAGCCAUUUGUCGAAAUCCGGGUCCGCCAUCGCUUCUUCAUAGUUCGAAGGUUCACCGUUGUCUAACAACAUGAUUUUCAGGACAGGAUUGCCGUACCACUCUGGUGCGGAACGUGUUCUUGUGGACCUACGAAGUUCAGUAACUUGAUCCGAAGCUUCAUGAUCAUCAUCAUUAACUUCCUCCCUAGUCGGUGUAGGCACCACAGGAACAUUUUCCCGCGCUGCGCUACUUUCCGGUUCGGAAGGGGUGACUAUCACCUCAUCAAGUUCCACUUUCCUCCCACUCAAUUCUUUCAAGAGAAACUCCUUCUCCAGAAAGGACCCGUUCUUGGCAACGAAGAUCUUGCCUUCGGAUCUGAGGUCGAAGGUAUACCCAAUAGUUUCCUUAGGGUAUCCUAUGAAGACGCAUUUUUCCGACUUGGGUUCAAGUUCGAGCUUUUCAGGUUGAAGUUUCUUGACAUAAGCAUCGCAUCCCCAAACUUUUAGAAACGACAGCUUAGGUUUCUUCCCAAACCAUAAUUCAUACGGUGUCGUCUCAACGGAUUUCGACGGAGCCCUAUUUAAAGUGAAUGCGGCAGUCUCUAAAGCAUAGCCCCAAAAUGAGAGCGGUAAAUCGGUAAGAGACAUCAUAGAUCGCACCAUAUCCAAUAGAGUGCGAUUACGACGUUUGGACACACCAUUUCUCUGAGGUGUUCCAGGCGGCGUGAGUUGUGAAACUAUUUCACAUUUCCUUAAGUGUGUACCAAAUUCGUGACUUAAAUAUUCUCCACCACGAUCUGAUCGUAAGAAUUUUAUUUUCCUGUCACGUUGAUUCUCGACUUCACUCUGAAAUUCCUUGAACUUUUCAAAGGUUUCAGACUUGUGUUUCAUUAGGUAGACAUACCCAUAUCUACUUAAAUCAUCAGUGAGAGUGAGAACAUAACGAUAUCCUCCGCGAGCCUCAACACUCAUUGGACCGCACACAUCGGUAUGUAUGAUUUCCAAUAAGUUGGUUGCUUGCUCCAUUGUUCCGGAGAACGGAGUCUUGGUCAUCUUACCCAUGAGGCAUGGCUCGCACGUGUCAAAUGAUUCGUAAUCAAGAGACUCCAAAAGUCCAUCUGCAUGGAGCUUCCUCAUGCGCUUGACACUAAUGUGACCAAGGCGGCAGUGCCACAAGUAUGUGGGACUAUCGUUAUCAACUUUACAUCUUUUGGUAUUCACACUAUGAACAUGUGUAACAUCACGUUCGAGAUUCAUCAAAAAUAAACCAUUGACCAGCGGGGCAUGACCAUAAAACAUAUCUCUCAAAUAAAUAGAACAACCAUUAUUCUCAGAUUUAAAUGAGUAGCCAUCUCGAAUUAAACGAGAUCCAGAUACAAUGUUCAUGCUCAAAGCUGGCACUAAAUAACAAUUAUUGAGGUUUAAAACUAAUCCCGUAGGUAGAUGCAGAGGUAGCGUGCCGACGGCGAUCACAUCGACCUUGGAACCAUUCCCAACGCGCAUCGUCACCUCGUCCUUCGCCAGUCUCCGUUUAUUCCGUAGUUCCUGUUUUGAGUUACAAAUAUGAGCAACGGCACCGGUAUCAAAUACCCAGGAGCUACUACGAGUACUGGUAAGGUACACAUCAAUUACUUGUAUAUCACAUAUACCUUGGGUGUUGCCGGCCUUCUUCUUGUCCGCUAAGUAUUUGGGGCAGUUCCGCUUCCAGUGACCACUUCCGUUGCAAUAAAAGCACUCAGUCUCGGGCUUGGGUCCAUUCCUUGACUUCUUCCCAGUAACUGGUUUACCGGGCGCGGCAACUCCCUUGCCGUCCUUCUUGAAGUUCUUCUUACCCUUGCCCUUCUUGAACUUAGUGGUUUUAUUCACCAUCAACACUUGAUGUUCUUUUCUGAUCUCUACCUCAGCUGAUUUCAGCAUUGAAUAUACCUCAGGAAUGGUCUUUUCCAUCCCCUGCAUAUUGAAGUUCAUCACAAAGCUCUUGUAGCUUGGUGGAAGCGACUGGAGGAUUCUGUCAACGACCGUGUCAUCCGGGAGAUUAACUCCCAGCUGAGACAAGCGGUUGUGCAACCCAGACAUUCUGAGUAUGUGCUCACUAACAGAACUGUUCUCCUCCAUUUUACAGCUGAAGAACUUGUCGGAGACAUCAUAUCUCUCGACCCGGGCAUGAGCUUGAAAAACCAGUUUCAGCUCCUCGUACAUCUCAUAUGCUCCAUGUUUCUCAAAACGCUUUUGGAGACCCGGUUCGAAGCUGUAAAGCAUGCCGCACUGAACGAGGGAGUAAUCAUCAGCACGCUGCUGCCAAGCGUUCAUAACGUCUUGUUUCUCAGGGAUUGGUGCUUCACCUAGCGGUGCUUCUAAGACAUAAUCUUUCUUGGCUGCUAUGAGGAUGAUCCUCAGGUUCCGGACCCAGUCCGUAUAGUUGCUGCCAUCAUCUUUCAGCUUGGUUUUCUCUAGGAACGCGUUGAAAUUGAGGACAACGUUGGUCAUUUGAUCUACAAUACAUAGUGUAAAGAUUUUAGACUAAGUUCAUGAUAAUUAAGUUCAUUUAAUCAAAUUAUUUAAUGAACUUCCACUCAGAUAGACAUCCCUCUAGUCAUCUAAGUGAAACAUGAUCCGAAUUCGACUAGGCCGUGUCCGAUCAUCACGUGAGACGGACUAGUCAAGAUUGGUGAACAUCUCCAUGUUGAUCGUAUCUUCUAUACGACUCAUGCUCGACCUUUCGGUCCUCCGUGUUCCGAGGCCAUGUCUGUACAUGCUAGGCUCGUCAAGUCAACCUAAGUGUAUUGCAUGUGUUCCGAGGCCAUGUCUGUACAUGCUAGGCUCGUCAACACCCGUUGUAUUCGAACGUUAGAAUCUAUCACACCCGAUCAUCACGUGGUGCUUCGAAACAACGAACCUUCGCAACGGUGCACAGUUAGGGUGAACACUUUCUUGAAAUUAUUAUAAGGGAUCAUCUUACUUACUACCGUCGUUCUAAGCAAAUAAGAUGCAAAAACAUGAUAAACAUCACAUGCAAUCAAAUAGUGACAUGAUAUGGCCAAUAUCAUCAUGCUCCUUUGAUCUCCAUCUUCGGGGCACCAUGAUCAUCUUCGUCACCGGCAUGACACCAUGAUCUCCAUCAUCAUGAUCUCCAUCAUUGUGUCUUCAUGAAGUCGUCACGCCAACGAUUACUUCUACUUGUAUGGCUAACGCGUUUAGCAACUAAGUAAAGUAAAUUACAUGGCGUUAUUCAAUGACACGCAGGUCAUGCAAAAUAAUAAAGACAACUCCUAUGGCUCCUGCCGGUUGUCAUACUCAUCGACAUGCAAGUCGUGAUUCCUAUUAUAAGAAUAUGAUCAAUCUCAUACAUCACAUAUAUUAUUCAUCACAUCUUCUGGCCAUAUCACAUCACAUAGCACUUGCUGCAAAAACAAGUUAGACGUCCUCUAAUUGUUGUUGCAAGUUUUUUUACGUGGUUUGUAGGUUUCUAGCAAGAACGUUUUCUUACCUACGUAUGACCACAACGUGAUUUGCCAAUUUCUAUUUACCCUUCAUAAGGACCCUUUUCAUCGAAUCCGUUCCGACUAAAGUAGGAGAGACAGACACCCGCUAGCCACCUUAUGCAACUAGUGCAUGUCAGUCGGUGGAACCUCUCUCACGUAAGCGUACGUGUAAGGUCGGUCCGGGCCGCUUCAUCCUACAAUGCCGCCGAAACAAGAAACGACUAGUAGCGGCAAGAAGAAUUGGCAAACUCAACGCCCACAACUGCUUUGUGUUCUACUCGUGCAUAGUAACUACGCAUAAACCUGGCUCAUGAUGCCACUGUUGGGAAUCGUAGCAUAAUUUAAAAUUUUCCUACGUUCACCAAGAUGCAUGUAUGGAGUCUACUAGCAACGAGGGGAAAGGAGUGCAUCUACAUACCCUUGUAGAUCGCGAGCGGAAGCGUUUCAAUGAACGUGGAUGACGGAGUCGUACUCGCCGUGAUCCAAAUCAUCGAUGACCGAGUGCCGAACGGGCGGCACAUCCGCGUUCAACACACGUACGGUGCAGCGACGUCUCCUCCUUCUUGAUCCAGCAAGGGGGAAGGAGAGGUUGAUGGAGAUCCAACAGCACGACGGCGUGGUGGUGGAUGUAGCGGGUCUCCGGCAGGGCUUCGCCGAGCUUCUGCGAGAGAGAGAGGUGUUGCAGGGGAGGAGGGAGGCGCCCAAGGUUGUAGGUUGCUGCCCUCCCUCCCCCCCCUUUAUAUAGGNNNNNNNNNNNNNNNNNNNNNNNNNNNNNNNNNNNNNNNNNNNNNNNNNNNNNNNNNNNNNNNNNNNNNNNNNNNNNNNNNNNNNNNNNNNNNNNNNNNNNNNNNNNNNNNNNNNNNNNNNNNNNNNNNNNNNNNNNNNNNNNNNNNNNNNNNNNNNNNNNNNNNNNNNNNNNNNNNNNNNNNNNNNNNNNNNNNNNNNNNNNNNNNNNNNNNNNNNNNNNNNNNNNNNNNNNNNNNNNNNNNNNNNNNNNNNNNNNNNNNNNNNNNNNNNNNNNNNNNNNNNNNNNNNNNNNNNNNNNNNNNNNNNNNNNNNNNNNNNNNNNNNNNNNNNNNNNNNNNNNNNNNNNNNNNNNNNNNNNNNNNNNNNNNNNNNNNNNNNNNNNNNNNNNNNNNNNNNNNNNNNNNNNNNNNNNNNNNNNNNNNNNNNNNNNNNNNNNNNNNNNNNNNNNNNNNNNNNNNNNNNNNNNNNNNNNNNNNNNNNNNNNNNNNNNNNNNNNNNNNNNNNNNNNNNNNNNNNNNNNNNNNNNNNNNNNNNNNNNNNNNNNNNNNNNNNNNNNNNNNNNNNNNNNNNNNNNNNNNNNNNNNNNNNNNNNNNNNNNNNNNNNNNNNNNNNNNNNNNNNNNNNNNNNNNNNNNNNNNNNNNNNNNNNNNNNNNNNNNNNNNNNNNNNNNNNNNNNNNNNNNNNNNNNNNNNNNNNNNNNNNNNNNNNNNNNNNNNNNNNNNNNNNNNNNNNNNNNNNNNNNNNNNNNNNNNNNNNNNNNNNNNNNNNNNNNNNNNNNNNNNNNNNNNNNNNNNNNNNNNNNNNNNNNNNNNNNNNNNNNNNNNNNNNNNNNNNNNNNNNNNNNNNNNNNNNNNNNNNNNNNNNNNNNNNNNNNNNNNNNNNNNNNNNNNNNNNNNNNNNNNNNNNNNNNNNNNNNNNNNNNNNNNNNNNNNNNNNNNNNNNNNNNNNNNNNNNNNNNNNNNNNNNNNNNNNNNNNNNNNNNNNNNNNNNNNNNNNNNNNNNNNNNNNNNNNNNNNNNNNNNNNNNNNNNNNNNNNNNNNNNNNNNNNNNNNNNNNNNNNNNNNNNNNNNNNNNNNNNNNNNNNNNNNNNNNNNNNNNNNNNNNNNNNNNNNNNNNNNNNNNNNNNNNNNNNNNNNNNNNNNNNNNNNNNNNNNNNNNNNNNNNNNNNNNNNNNNNNNNNNNNNNNNNNNNNNNNNNNNNNNNNNNNNNNNNNNNNNNNNNNNNNNNNNNNNNNNNNNNNNNNNNNNNNNNNNNNNNNNNNNNNNNNNNNNNNNNNNNNNNNNNNNNNNNNNNNNNNNNNNNNNNNNNNNNNNNNNNNNNNNNNNNNNNNNNNNNNNNNNNNNNNNNNNNNNNNNNCGGGGUGGUGUGCGGGCCGGCCAAGUACAGGGAGAUGCCCUGGACGGCCGUCACGAGGUCCCGCAGGGUGCUGGUCAUCUCCUCCGGCGUGAAGACGGAGGUUGUCGGCGGCGCGGAAGUGACGGGGGCCGGCAGCGCGGAGGUGAUCGGGGCCGGCGGCGUUGGGGACCCGGCAGUGGUCAUCGGGGCGGUGGUGAUGAUGGGAAGCGGCGGCGUGGGUGUUACCAAAUUGGUAGAACCAGGGAUCCUACCGGACCUGCUCCGUAGGUUGUAGGGGAAGGAGGGAGGAGGUCGGGGCGAUGAGCGGGCGCGCCGGCGGCUGGGCGCCGUCGCGUAGGAGGAGGAUGGCGGCGGCGGCUAGGGUUAGAGGCGGCUAGGGUUCCGGCUCCUCUGGGAGCCGGGCAAUAGGGAUAAUAAUAUUCUUAUUGCUUAAUUCCAAAAAGAGUCUUACAGCCUAUAUUUAUAACCUAAAUAACUUGCAGAAGAAUUAACCUAAGAUAACUUAUGGGCUAAGAUUGCCCGGUGGGCGCUAAACCGGCCAUAACACAUGUACUCCCUCCGUUCCAAAAUAGAUGACCCAACUUUGUACUAAAGUUAGUUGUCAUUAAUUAUUGUUGUUCAUACUUCUCUUUGUUCGUAUCUUUGAACAGGCAGAGGGGGAUCCUCAUGUUAAUGGUACUGAGGCUGAGCUAAAUGCUAUGUGUAAUCUAAUACUUCAUCCCAACUUCAAUAGUAACUUAGUUGUUUGUAUUUUGUUCACAAGCUAAUGUUUCUAGAACUAGCAUAAUUUUACAUCUUUAUGUACAGAUGAUGCAGCACUUGUACAAUCAACUCAGUACAAUUUCGUGAAAUCAAAAUACUACUUCAGUCUCUUGGGGAGAAAAGCCCAAACUGGGUUUCUCGGUCUCAGGCAUGUGCUUUACUCUUAAAUGCUGAAAUGUUCGUCGCUGAUUCUUUUGAAACUGAGGCAAGGGCGAUAAGAUGGUUGGAUGGUCAAAUAAUAGUGAUAUCAAACACCAAGUUCAGUAUGUUGGAAGGGGAAUUCGGCAAUUACACGACCACAUGUAAGCCCUUAAAAGAGAAGAAGCUCAAGGUAUGUUUGGUAUCUUGUCUAAUUAUCUUGUUUCCAGUUUAUUGUACUACUCUGCUAUGGUGUGUAGUUAGUAAUGUGCAGCAUAGAAUUAUCUGUGGUAAGUUUGUAAAGAUGAAAAUGUUCACACCACCUUUAAUUAUGAUGGCAGACAUGGAUUAAAUUAUUCCAAGUUGAAUUGUUCCCUGUACAAGUACACUCACUACGCAGUAAUCGUGUUGGCUAUACAGCUACAUGACACUGUUUGACCAACUGAAUCAACUUGUUAGAAUUUAAUUGUAGACUUUAACAAGACAGCUUGUACUAUUAAAUUGCAGCAUUGCCUAGAGUCAACAAUGACCAAUGACUGCAUAUGCAUAUCCUGAAAAAAGCUCUUUUGUAGCUUAACUUUCACAUGACAGCUUGUACUAUGCAACAAUAACUGCAUAAGUAUAUUUCUUGAAAAAAGAACUCUGUAAGUAUCAACAACGACUCUUUUUGUAAACAUUGAGAACCUGACAGCUAAUAAAGCUUGGUAUCCCUGAAGUUCUUGAAGCAACUAUGUUGCACAAGAUGUUUCCUUCGGAUGAUAUUUUCAGUAUUAUUCUGCAAUACAACUUGCAUAACUUGAAUGUUGUUGUUUAUUGUAAUAACAUGGAGCCUCCCAUGGAGCUUAAUUUUCGCUUCCUAGCAUGGUGAUUAAAAAACUGUAUAAACCAGACCAUUCUAUAUUUCCCUCCCUCUUAACGAAAUCGGCAGAGCUCCUGCCUUUCAAGUCAAAAAAUGAUGACAGUUCAUGGUUGUAACUUUGCAAAUAUUCUUGUUUUCUGAACUAAGGUUUAUGGUUAACUUCUUUCUAGUUUAUUGUACUACUAUGAUGUAGUGCGUAAUUAAUAAUGUGUGGAACUGUGGACCGAUAUGUGGAAUGUGGUAACUGGUAACCAUAGUUUACUAGGGCAGUAACAAGAGAGCGUACUUUUCAUGUUGACAAGCUUUGCUUCCUACCACGAUGAUAAAGGACAGUAUAAUGACGAUGACCUUUGGCAGUUGCAAUUUUCACAUAAUCUGGCUCGAUCUGUCACUAUUCAUGCCUUCACAUCUCCCUUUAGCACACUGUUUCUGUUUGUAUUGAACCGAGCCUGGUAUAUAUCUUUUUGCAGUGCAAGGAAGAUUCAACAAUUGAUCGGUUUGAAAUGCGAGGCGAUAUCUGGGCAAGGAGAAGGACAUGCCUGCGGGAUAACUCUGCCUUUCACUUGAUCCAGUGGAGGAGGACAGCGGGGCUUCGGCGAGUACAAGUGCAGCAGCCACGGGAAGCCUCAUCGCAGAAUGACAGCAACACGCUCCUUAAGGAACUGCAUGUCACGAUGAAGAGUCUCCUCGAAGAAUUGAAAGUCAACACCAAGGCAGCGACGGAGUCAAGCCAGCUUAUCGCCAAAUCUUGUCAAGAAGUUAUCGAGGCCUGCAAGAUCUCUGCGACCAGCACGGGGACCGGUAUAGUGAACUGAGGAACCGCAUGUAGAUGAGUAGCCGUGACUUUACAUGUAGAUGAGUAGCAGCUGUGUGGUUGCUAGGGAACAAGUUCUAUACAUUGUUGCUUCGGUUGUAGAGCAACACGUUGUAUACGUUGUCACUACAGGGGAUGAUGUAGUCGAUAACUCCGAAUUGUGCGCGGGCUCACUUGAUCUCGUUGCCGCAGCAUUCAAUUGAUUGUAGAUCUGGGAGAGAGCACUGAUAUAUACUGAUUCGUAUUGAAUCUCUUAUCUCCAUGUGUUUACAAACUGCGACUCUGCGAUCAUUGAACUACAAGCCGAGAACAACCGCAAAAGCUCUGAGAUCUUGGCACGGUCCAAACCACUCUGAUCUGCGGCUGAGGGGAACAAUCAUUGCGGAGCUCAUUUUCAGGCUGGACAUUGCCGGUGACGCGAGAACUUUAUCACAGGCAGGGAUCAGUCUCAGAGGCUUGCUGAAGAUGCAAAGUCUGGGAAUUGCUGCCACGGAGAGGUCCACGAGGCGGCAAAAGUCUCGUUUCCUGACGUUGAAGGAUGGCGCGUCCAAUUCCAGGCUGUUCCGUGUCCACGCUUCUUCACGCAGGCGCAAGAACCACAUCCUGGAUUUGCAGCGUGAUGGUGCUCUGGUCACUGAUGAUUCCGAGAAGAUGGACAUGAUUUGGUCUCACUUCAACUCCCUGCUGGGCUGCACCUCCGAUCGCCCACACACUCUGAAUCUUGAAGCGCUCAACGUGCCGGCUAUUGACCUAUCUGCCCUUUUGAUGCACCUUUCACUGAAGAUGAGAUUAAAGGUACAAUUUUUCAGCUGCACCCACGGUCCCGACGGAUUUACUGGCAAGUUUUUCAGAGUGUGUUGGUCAAUGGUUUCAGGUAUUGAAUUCUCAAGCCCUGAGCCCGCUCAACUCGGCCACAAUGAUUAUGCUUGCUAAGGGUAGCCAUAGUGGGGUAACUUAGGUAGUAACUUAACACAUCCCAAGAUAAUUUUGCUUAUGUGGCAAGUAUUUAAUAAGGAAAGAGGUGCUUGUGGUAAUAUAAUAUGUUACUGUAACAUAGCGCUUCCCGAGGUAAAAUGAGUCUAUGAGCUAAUAAAUGAAGCACCAUAUGACACUACUAUUAUGUUACUUUGCACUAUGAAGGUAGUAACUUAGACUAGUGUCACAUGCAUGACACUAGUAUAAGUUACUCCCCACUAUGACCAGCCUAAGAAGGAGGAGCCCUCUAUGCCCGGGGACUACCGACCUAUUUGUCUUGUCCAUUGCUUUUGGGAAGAUCGCCGCUAAGAUGCUCGCUAACAGACUGCAACCUGUGAUGCCAAAGCUGAUUGCCAACUGCGAGAACACAUUCAUUAAAGGAAGAUCUAUCCAUGACAACUUUGUGUUCGUCCAGGGUGCCGCUAAGUUGUUGCAACAGAGGAAGAUCCCUAGCCUACUUGUGAAGCUGGACAUAUCCAAAGCCUUUGAUUCCGUCUCAUGGGCGUUCCAGCUUUUGAGCUUUAGAGGUUUCAGUCUGACCUGGAGUGACUGGGUUUCAAACUUGCUGGCCACAUCUUCAACAAAAAUAAAUGUCAACGGGUCGCCGUCGGUGUGAAGCUUGUGCUUGUUCGCCAGGUCCUAUCCGCUGUCCCUGCUUUCCAGAUGAUGGUGACUAUCGUAAACAAGUGAGCUGAUGCACAGCUGAACAAACUGCGCCGCUCUUUUGGGCCGAGAAUGGUGAGGCAUUGGCUGCCAAGUGUCUGAUGGCAUGCAAAAGGAUCUGCAAGCCUUUGGAUUUUGGUGGGCUAGGUAUCACCGACCUUGAGAGAUAUAGCCGCGCUCUGCGCUGCCGUUGGCUAUGGCUCAGGUGGACCGAGGAGGACAAACCGUGGCUUGAUCUCCCUCUACCUAUUGACGAUCAGGUCAUCGCCCUGUUUCAAGCCUCAACUCUGUCAUCGCCCUGUUUUAAUGGAGAGAAGAUAUCCUUCUGGGAUGAUAACUGGUUGAGCAGUGGCCCUCCCAAGAAGCCGUUUCUUCCCCAUUCCAGCAUAGGAGCUCACUCAAGGAUGCUAUUCAUGAUAACAACUGGCUGGAUGUCAACAAUUAAACCGUUGCCACCAAUCGAGGCUCUGCGUGAUUACAUUAUGUUGUGGAGUGCCAUCCAGAAUAUUCAGCUUUCGCCCCACCCUGACAAGAUCACAUGGAAGUGGACGGUUGAUGGCUCCUACUCCGCUGCGUCCGCAUACAAGAUUCAAUUCAUGGGCGGUGUUCAGUCUAAUCUGAAGGUACUGAUUUGGAAGGCUCCGGUACCAGGAAAGUUAAGGCUCUCCGCGUGGAUGGGUGUCCAGGGCCGCUGCCUCACGGCGGACCUGCUCGCGAAGAGAUGCUGGCAACACAGCCCGUUCUAUGCCCUCUGCAGAUGCCACUCUGAGUCCGCCUUGCACUUAUUCAUGCACUGCUCUUUCUCCCUGGAGCUAUGGAAGAAGGCUUUUCAAACUUUCAGCAUUCCCUUGAACAGGCUGCCUAUAGACGGAACUCACUCUUUCAGGCAAUGGCGGGAGUAUGGAUUCGAUUCAUUUGCCAGGAGAGACCUGAAGAUGAAGUGGUCUUCCGCGACUACUGUGGUGGCCUGGUUCAUUUGGACUGAGCGUAAUGCCAGGAUUUUCAGGGGCAUCGCCACCAGCGUUGCUUCCCUAAUGCAGCGUGGCAGUAAUUUCCUGGGUUCCCAGUGAGAUAUGCAUUAUGUGCGCGUGGGAAUCACGGGUUUGCUGAUAAAUGCUGUUGUAAAUCCGGAGCACAAUCUGUUUAUUGAUUAGACGUGCCAAUGGCAGCAGCCUUAAGCUGCGCCAACACACCAUAAUGACAUCUGAAAGGACCGUUCGGUUCUAAAAGUACAAGGUGGCGAUUCGGGUUUGGUCAAAGUUGUCAAAACACGACCAAACCAACAUCAUCACCCCUACACUGGUAGACUUCACCGUUAAGGUAAUUCUGCUCUAAAAGGGGGUCUUCGAAUCUGACAAAAGAGAAACACCUUUUGGGAAGCUCAAUUGGGGUUCCUCAGGUGACCGAGGUGUGAUACUCCUAGGGCAAAACUCUGAUCGUUUUGGGGGGAGACACGCGAAGAAUUUAUUGAACCAGUUUGUAAGUCCGAAGACCAAAGAUGAAGGACAGUCCUCGGGUCCUGGAUAAGGGAAUGCUGACCACGUCGACCUAUCGACGUGGGUCGGGCCGAGGCCCCUCAAAUGACCAACCAAUGGGUCACAUUCGUCAGGCCCUGAGGAAUCAAGAUGGAAUCUCCCGAAGACUUGGCACAUACUCCAAGGCACGAACGCAAUCUUCAACACAUUUAUCUUUAGAUAGACCUAUGUGUAACCCUAAGUAUCCCAAUGUUUAUAUAAAACCAGUGGUGCAGACCGUAGAUGCCAACUCAUUCAUACUCAAUCUCGACCUAGGUCAAUUUGUAUUCUGCACCCCGUCCACAAUCAAUAUAAACAAAGCAUUGUAAGGUUUUACCUCCCCGAAAGGUCUGAACCUGAGUGGAUUCGACUUCGUUACUGUCCAGGUAGAUGAAACGGCUCGUGCAGCCCCUGAGUUGCCCUCGCGGCAACCCAUGGCGGAACGGACGGCUGGGAGACGCCCUUCGCCCGCAAAGAGCUCAGGAGACUGAUACUGCACCAUCCUUUAUACGGGAGUAAUGAUGCACGAAAGGCCCUUCGCUGUAAAAGAAAAGCAAGUAGGUAUAGGUAUACAUACAGAUAUACUGUGACGGUAUCUUGCCUGCACGUGGGCCCGAGAGCGCGGCGAGACCCGCUUAUGCAUCCGGAUUUGUACUGUACCAGAAAGAUAUCGCGAAAUGAAAAGAAAAAGUGUGGGGAGCUCAGGAUUGGGAGCGGCGUGCUUCCACCCUACUCCGGCGGCGGUAGCCGCCGCGGCCACGCCAGGUUCUUAUUUCUCCACCCGAUUUACUGAUGCGCCGUGUCUAAAUACGUCGCUGGAUGUUCUUUCCAGGCGCCGCUCAGAUCCCCCUUCGAUCCUUUAAUUCCUCCGAUUUGGGAUCGCAGACUGAUCUGAGGAGGCCGAGUCGCAGACUGAUCGGAGGAGGCCUAUUUAGCGCCGGUCGAUGAGCGAGGCGCCGAGAGCAACGCAUCCGAGCAAGCCAGAGGUGCGGGAUGGGGAGAAAGGCGCCUUCUUUUGCUCCGGCCGGACGGAAGCGUAAAGGUCCAUCGUUUCCCCUUCUCUCCCCCUGCAAACGCCGGAUUUCCCCCGCUCCGGCGCAGGUGACCGGCUGGGCAUCCCUCCCGGACGACAUAGUCCACCAAGUCGCCGCGCUGGUGCUGGAAUUCGACGUGGUGGACUACAUUGCCUUCCGCGCGGUCUGCUCGGGAUGGCGCGCCUGCGCGCCCAGCCCGCGAGACCCCACCCUGCGGAUACGAUCUCUCCGCCCGGUCGACUGGGUCGCGCUCUGCGACGGCGACGCCGUCCGCCCGGAUGACGCCUGCCAGAUAACCUUCUUCCAGAAGCGAACGGCCAGGUGCCUCCGCGUCCGCCUGCCCGAGCUCCAGCGCCACAGGAUCAUUGGCUUCACUGAUGGUCUUGUCAUCCUGCUGCACAAGCGAGCCACCACGAUCCGCGUGCUCCACCCCUUCACGCGGGUCGUGGUCGACUUCCCAUCCCUCGUCCCCGUCUACCAGAAGCUGAUCCGGAACCGCAACUGCGUGCUCCGCAUGAACGCUGCGGUUUGUAGCAGUGUGUCAUCCACCACUUCCAUUGCCGUCGUGGCUUGGUUCCCUUGGUCAUCUGUGGUGCUCAGUGCUGAUGCAGGCCACUCAAGCUGGGAGGUCAUUCACAAAGACAUGUAUCUUUCCAAUACCUUGCCCUUCCAAGGUCAGCUUUACGGUUUCCUGCAGACUUCAAGGCAGAUUGUGCAAGUCUACCCUCCAAAACCACUUGGUCCUGGCCCUGUCGUUGCUCAUGUUCCAAUUAAGUUUGGCAACCCAUUUUUCUGCAGCUUCUAUCUCGUGGAGUCCGAUGGCCACAUGCUACUUGUUGUCAAGUCUAUGAACUUGGUGGGCCGUGAUGUGGAGGAGUGGCGACGUUACGUCAUUGCGAUCUUCAAGGUUGAUGUAAGCCUCGGCCACUGGGAACUGAUCCCAGUAAGCAGUCUUGGCGACCGAGCAUUGUUUGUCUCCAUGGACAGGUGCCUGUCCGUGAAGGCGAAGAACCUUCCUUCCAUCAGCAGCAACUCAAUUUACCUCACUGUGCCACUCCCGGAUCCGGUUGUCGUGCAUUCCCUGAGCAGCCAGUCAUUUGAGCGGCCAACGACGUUGUGUCAGGUCCACGACGUGAAGGAGAAGAUUCGCCCGUCCGUCAGGCCCUUCACCAUCGCUGAUCAUCUUCUCACCUACUGCAAUCAUCGUGAAUGGUACAACUUCUUAAUUAACUUCUACUACUACCUUCUCUCUAGCAACAACAUGCAUUCAGCGUGAUAACUCUAAUUAAUGUUCUAAUAAUUUGCAUUUCGUCCUCCUGUAGGGCAACUGGACUAAUGUUUCAUGAGUAUUACACUAUACCCAAGUCUUAUGAAGAGUUGUGGAAGAAAAUAAGAGCUCAGGAUUCUGAAGUGAGGAUUUCGCGCGUGCAAGAUUCAAUCAGGAAAGGGAAAAGGCGUGUCCAACUGAAGAAGGAAUAACUACACCGUAAUUUAGACUGCUCUUUGAAAAUGAGAAUAUUAUUUAACAAUAUUCUUAUUCCUAAUGCUUUCAAUGUAAUCAUGCAUCAACGCUGAUGAUGUAACUAAAAUCUGUUCUCACUUCGCGAUGAAGUGAGCUUAUAUAUGAACUGAAAAAUUACCAGCAGGGUUAUGCCAGUUAGGAUCUGCUCAUGCAAGGUGAUUGACGCCCAUUUGCUUGUCAGGUGUUCAGGUUCAUUCAGUGUACUCGCUGUUGAGUGUGAAUCCGGAUUUGUUUGUUAUAUAGUUCUGUCUUAUCUUAGAGAAAGGUCGGGAUUACUCCCUACUGUGCCUUGAUGAAUCAUGGCAGAAUGUCACUGAAUAACAUCCGGUAGACCAGCACCAAGUAAUGCUCAUUCUUGUCAUUAUUGUUUGAGUUAAAUACAUUACAGGUGUCCUAACUUGUCCGGUGCGGUAAGUUUGAUGCUUAAACUUGAAAAAUACACAAAAAUGGUGCCGUAAUUUGUCUGGGCAUUCAAAUACGGUGCCUCUGGACGUAUGCCGCCAAAUCAAGUGCUAGCGUGGCAUGCCAGUGUGUCGCUGGGCCACAUGUCAAUGGCUGUAGGCACGUUGUGAGUUUUGCGUGUAGUAUUUUUGUUUACAAAAAUGCCCCUGGACUUUAGUUAAUUCUUGAAAAAAAUCGUUGCGGACGCUGGAUGCACACUGUUUUUUUAGGUGAACGUGCUUGUACCUUAAUUAAUUCUCACAAAAAUAUAAGCACAAAUUGGCAUGGUUUGGCAUGGAGGGAAUUCAAAUCACGGACCUCCUGGUUG